AGUUGUACUAUGACUUCCUGGAAAUUUGAGUUUUAUGCUUGUUGUAUCAGCUCCUUCACGAAGUUGGAAAUGUUCUAACUAGAAAUAAAAAGCAAAACUUUCUGAUAAUCUAAUGCUUCGAGUUCAUUUGGCCAUCACUAAUGCCACUGUUGUAUCAGUUCCUUACACAAUGUUUGUAAUGUUGUAAGUAGAAAUAAAAGGAAAAACUUUCUGAUAAUUGCAAGCAGAACACUUGGAGUUCAUGUGACCAUCACUAGUUUCUCUUGCUCUUGCUCAUGCUUUCGUGAUCUUUACAUGUCUUGUUUUCUGGGAAUGAAAGACUAAAAUGUUGCGUCCUAACCAUUCAGAUACACUGCAGCUACAGGUACCUGGCCCAUCGAAUAGAUGUGAUCUUAAGAAAAAUAGUAAAUUGGGGAGGGGCAUAUUGAAGAAUCGAAGAUUAAUAGGGAAUUGACACAAUUUUCAUGCUAAAUUGAAAGACAUAAUUUACUCACCCAAGAUAAGGUAAUGUUGCUCGGAAAACACAUUGUUUGUUCAAAAUAUAUCAUCCUAUUUCUUUUAGUUUAUUUACACUAGUACUCUAUCUAAUUUCUCGUGUUCAUUCUUCUAGACUAAUAGACCAUUUCUCGAUUUGUGCGUGUCAUCCUUGUCGCAGGGGCCAUACUAAUCUUCUCUGUAUCGUUCCAGUUUUAUCGGAUGUCCCCGAAGGGACUCUUCUAGACUAAUAGGAAAAUAGAGUAGUAAUGAAUCUUAGAGAUAGCUUUUCAUUCUCUUGUAUCAAGGUGGCGUGUUUAUCCAAGCUUGGUGACUCUGUAAAUUAUUGCUUAGAAAUUGUCAAUGAUUGAAAAAGAAAAAGAAAAAACAAUAUAAGGUCAGCAUCUAAUGUCAUUGUAUGUGUUUAAAAAGUGUAUAUAAUUGAAGGAAGCAUAUUAUUUUCCUUUGAUUUGGAGAGCAAAACAAAACAACAUUGGUCAAUAACACCAAUAAAUCAGGAUAUAUUUUCUUUGACAAUUUCAGUGGAAGUAGCUAAAGGUAAUGAACUUUUUUCAGUCUGCUUCCUCCUGCUCUUUCAAAUAUAGGUUUUUCAUUCUUAUAAAGAUCUGUCAUUUACUCAAUGUCGAUACAUUCAUGCUCACUCCACCUCGAUAAUUUGUUGUCGAGUCCAUGUGAAUACCAGCAGCAGACCACUACAAGCUCCCUAUUCUCCUUAUUGUCUUUUGCUACAAAUGCGACUGUUUUGAGGUGAUAAAUGACAAGAGGAAGAUCCAGUUAGAAUCUCUCCAAGCUGAAGUCCGUUCAUUGACAAAGGUGGCAAUCGGAGUGAAGCAACAAAUGUCAGAAUCAAGGUUUUCAACACAUUUCAAAACAUGACUGGAUUGAAACCUUUUAGUAUCUUAAGGCAAAAUCCAUAUGCAGUAAUUCAUGUAAGAAUUUUUUCACCAAGGGUACCACCCGCUGGAUCCAAGAAUAGCAACAUGGACUUGAUGCCCAUGCGCAUGCUUUGUGACAACCAUGAUACAAAAGUCAGCAUAGAAAAAAAAGAAAAUCACGAUUCACUGUCUCCCGUCUAGGUGAGGUCCUUCCUUUUGACUCAAACCAAGUGAGCAUGGUUUUUGCUCAAGCGAUUUGCUGUUGCUUGUCUGUUGUUUUUCUGCAUAUGAAUCCAAAUAUCUGUCUAUAUCUGUAGGCUUAAUCUAGAUAUCAAAAUCCAUACUAUACAGUUUUAUCUUUUUAGCCUUAAUCUAGAUAUCAAAUACGACGUACACUUCCAUACAUACUGAAAAUAGUUGUAACUAGCUACUACCUUGUAAUGUUAGAUUGAUGAUACAAGUGAGUCAACAACAACAACAACCCAGUGGAAUCCCACAAGUGGGUCUGGGAAGGGUAGUGUGUAUGCUGACCUUACCCUUACCUAUGAAGAUAGAGAGGCUGUUUCCGAAAGACCCUCGGCUCAAGAACGUAAAAAAUGGAGCAAUAGAGAAACAAUAGCAACAACAAGGUAAUAAGACAGUAGAAGCAAAUAAUACAAUGAGUAAUGACAGAGAUUCAGGGAUAUGAAACUACAAGAAUAGUGCCAAUCCUACACACCGUAUAGAAACAAGGGACUAGGAAUCAGAAAGUACCCGACUAGUACUACUACUAUUGGUAAGACAAGGCGAAACUCUAGACUGUCUAUCAACCCAUCACCCUAAUUUCAGAUAAAGUAGUUUGAAAAUAUUAUGUUGGUGCAUGGUGACAUUUACUGGUUGAAUUUGUAUGCCAUUGUGUUAACAGAUUGCGUUGUGUAAGAUGGUCUUUUUUCAACUUUUCCCCCUUUAGCUUCUCCUCUAUUAGCAUUUUGCCCAAUGUUACUUUGCUAUAAUCCCCUUUUGAAAAAGGAUGACCUCUUUGAACUUUUUGCUAUUUGUUUCAAUGUUAUGCCUCUCUUAACAGAUUCUCGGCGAUGAGGAAAAACGUACAUGAUAUGACAGGGGAGAAGACAGUGACACGGGUUCAGGAAUGGCGGUGGGGGAUUCAACCCAUUCGGUGGAGGAAGGCAGCAACUUAUAUUCCAGUUUGAAGGAGGGUUUUCAGGUGGGGGAUUUGGCGGAUUCCAUUUUUGACCUGGAUGGUGUUUGUUAUUCAUGUUUUCUUAAUGACUUUGCCAAGAACUCCUCAUAUUGGUUGCUGCAAGGGACGCACAGCACAAAGUACUGUAGGCUCUUAUACUCAUUUCCAAGAAGUUUUGCUCUGCAGAUACCAUUUUUUCUUUCUUUUGGGUAAUUUAUUAGCAAUAGACUUAAAGGAGAGGUCAAAAACUCUCUGAAUAAGUUUAUCAUGAUUCAGUCUCUUUUUUGGAAUGUUAGGAGCAUCAAAUCUAUGGGUGCCCUUGAGAGACUUAGACAAAUGAUUAGAAGCAAGAAACUUCCAAUUAUUGCAAUAUUAGAACCUUUCUACAAGGUUGAUAAACCGGACAAAUACAAAAGAAUGUUGGGUUAUGCAAAUGCAUUCUCCAAUGUUAAUAGUCAGAUAAGGGUAUUCUGGGAUGAACUAGUGGUAUGUCAGGUGGUGCAGUCUGAUGAGCAACAAGUUACAUAUGAAGUGACAGUGGAUGGAGGUUCUCUUUUGAUGUCAUUUGUUUAUGCUAAAUGUAAAGCAAGUGUGAGAGAAGUCCUAUGGGAUAGUCUUAGGCUUAUAUCUGAUACUUAUAAGAUACCUUGGAUUGUGGCUGGAGACUUUAACUGCAUUCUUGAUCCUAUGGAAAAAAGGGGAGGAAGUCCACACAGAAUGGCAAAAAGUAUGGCUUUUUUACCGUGUAUCAUGGAUUGUGACCUGAUGGAUGUUGGGUAUACUAGCUCCAAUUUUACUUGGUGUAAUGGACGGAGUCCUAAUAGGAGAGUUUGGAAGAGAUUGGAUAGAGUGCUGGUGAAUCAAGAAUGGAUGAAUUAGUUUGCUACUACAAAUAUCUCACACUUAGUUAGAACUGGUUCUGAUCAUUCCCCUCUAUUCAUAGUGAUUUCCAAGAGUAAGGAACCUAUUAAAUACUAUAUAAACUUAGACUUUUGGGUUGACGAACCUGACUUCAUGGAGGUGGUGGAACAAGCAUGGGAUGAGGAGAUUAAUGGCUCUCCAAUGUGGAGAUUUCAUUUGAAACUAAAGAACACUGCAAAGAGGUUAUCUGAGUGGUCUAGAAACUCUAUUGGUAACAUUUUUGAUAAAGUAAAGGAGCUGGAAGAUAGGGUUGCAGAGCUGGAGGCUAUAUCCAUAGUUGAUAACUCUGAAUACUUUUGAACUGCUCUCAACCAGGUUAAUGCAGAACUAAUUAGAGCAGUAAAGAAAGAGGAGAAUUACUGGAAACAGAAAGCUGGGAUCAGAUGGUUUGUAGAGGGUGAAGUCAAUUUCCAAUUUUUUUCGUUCAGCUAUUAAGGGAAGGAAGAAGAGACUUUUGUCACGACCCAACAUCCCAUCACAGACGUCGUGAUGACACUUAGUCUCUAAGACUAGGUAAGCUGAUUACAAUUACAUUUCGAGCUUUUUUUUAAACACAUAAUUUAAUACAAGUGUCGAAACCAAAAGCGGAAACAAAUAUAAAAACCUCUCAAGACCGGUAAUACUGAGUCACGAACUCUAACUGAAUACAUGCAAUGAUCUCAAGGAUCAAGUAUACAAUACUUGUUCGAAUAAGAGUUGACAGUACAAUAAAAAUAGAAAGACUCUAAGGGACUGCGACGACCAAGCAGCUCUACCUUGAAUCCUUGUGAUCAACACACUAACUCUGUCCGAGUUCGAUAUCUCCAAUACAUGGCUCUGCACAAAAAUGUACAGAAGUGUAGUAUGAGUACACCACAGUCGGUACCCAGUAAGUAUCAAGACUAAUAUCGGUAGAGUAGUGAUGAGGUACAGUCAAGACACUCACUAGUCAAAUAACAUGUGCAUUUUAGCAUACAAAAAUAAACGAAAGACAAACAACAGUGAUAGCAACAAUAAUCAAUAAGUGAUAUAAGCAACAAGGCAACAAGAACACCGCAAAUAUUACCCAAAUAAAUAAUGAACACUAGCACAACCAAUAAAUCAAGUCCUUCAAAAUAUACAUCUUUUAUCUACAAGUUUUUUGAAUAGAAAUCUUUAGAAUAUGAUCUUUUCCCAUAAAUAUCUUACGAAUAUAAUUCCUUCAAAUAAAUAACUUUCGAAUAUGGUUCUUCAAAUAAAAUCUUUCGAAUAUAACUCUUGCAAUUAAAUAACUUUUGAAUAAAAUUCUUCAAAUAAAAUCUUUCGAAUAUAAUUAUUGCAAAUAAAUAAAUUUCGAAUAUAAUUCUUCAAAGAAGAUCUUUUGAAUAUAAUCCUUUCAAAUAAAUAAUUUUCGAAUAAAAUCUUUCGAAUAUAAUUCUUUUCAAGUAAAAGUCACCAUGUAACACCUCAUUUCAUAAUCAUAAAAAUUACUCGUCUCAGCCCACUUUCAUAUUUCCACGACACCUCGUGCCCAUAUCUCUAUCACAACCGCACGGACAAUUCACAAAGCAGAAGACAAAAUAAUAUAAUGAAAUGACUGAUAAGUGAACAAAUGAGAAAUUACAGAAAGACAACAACACAACGAAUAGAGGUAAAUAAUAGGGGCGCUCCCAAAGUACCGCCUCGUAGUCCCAAAAGUAAACACGCAACAUGAGAUCUUUCGAAGAACCACCUUGUAGUCCCAAAAGUAAAUACGCAAAGUAAAUAUGCAAACAGGGGGAUCUCCGAGGUACCGCCUCGUAGUCCCAAAAGUAAAUAUGCAAACAGGGGGAUCUCCCGAGGUACCGCCCCGUAGUCCCAAAAGUAAAUAUGCAAACAGGGGGAUCUCCCGAGGUAUCGCCUCGUAGUCCCAAAAGUAAAUAUGCAAACAGAGGGAUCUCCCGAUGAACCGCCUCGUAGUCCCAAAAGUAAAUAUGCAACAACAAAGACGAAAGAAUAACUCAGCAAGAACAACCUCUUCUUAAAUCCAAAUUUCUGAUAAAUAUAUUAACGUCUCCAUUUAAACUUAUUUAAUUAACUAUUUGCAGAUGAAAAAUGCAUAAUGUAAUUAUUUUCAGAAAAUGUCAACUCAACAAGCACACGGAAUUCACACAAAAAUUAAAGUAGCAAUCACACCAAAUUAUCAUAUAAAACAAAUUCGACAACAAAGAACGAGGCAUGACAAAUAAGGAUUUAAUAAGUGCCAGAAAUUUCCAAUUUAAUACUUAAAAAUUCCUACUACUUUAAACCAAUACAAUUUGCACAUAUAAGCCCAAGUACGUACUCGUCACCUUGCGUACACGGCUUUCACAUUACACCAAUUGGCACAUACGACUCAAUGCUUAAGGGGUAAUUCCCCCACUCAAGGUUAGGCAGAAUACUUACCUUUUUGAAGUUAGGCCGGUAUUCCAAAAUAACCUUCUUGCUUGAAUUGACCUCCGGACAGCUCAAAUCUAUCCAAAUUAAUUGUAUAACUUCAUUAAAAUUCAUUGAAAAUAAUUCCGGUUAAUAAAACGUCGACUUAAAAAUUCACAUUAAAAAGUCAACCAAAAUUCAACGCGGGGGCCGCCUCUCGGAACCCGACAAAAUUUUUACAAAUUCGAAUGCCCAUUCCGAUACGAGUUCAACCAUACUAAUUUUAUCAAAUUCCGAUAACAACUCGACCUACGAAUCUUAAAUUUUCGUUCUUGAAGAGUUUUACAAAUUCCUCCAAUUUCUUCCAUCUGAUUCACUAAUAAUUGAUGAAAAUAACCAUGGAAUCAUGAAGUAUAAUCACUUUUGGAUAUAGAACACUUACCCCAAUCCAUAUGAUGAAAAUCGCCUCAAAAAUCAUUUCAAUCCUAGCUCCAUAGCUCCAAAUAUGUUAAAAUGGCCGAAACCCCCAUUUUUAGAAUCUGUCCAGGCAAGUCGCAUUUGACAUUUGAGACUUAUAAAUCGCAUUUGACACCUACGAUUUGCAUCAGCCCCAAAAAAUAGCAGUCUUUCCCGGUACAGAAAUGGACAUAACUCUCUCAUACGAUGUCCGAAUGAUGAAUAGUUUAACUUUCUGGAAACUAGACACCAAGGGCUACAAUUUUCAUGUUUUGUUCAUCUCCCAAUUCCUUAUAGAUGGCGAGACAUAAGCUCCCAAAAUCAUCCUAGUGCAGCAGAAAUUUCUGCGAUGCACACUGCUGUAGCCAAAAAUCAGCAGUUAAAUAUGGCCUAGAAAUGGUCCGAAAUUCCCCCGAGCCCCUUGGGACCCCGUUCUAACAUACCAACAAGUCUCAAAAUAUAUUAAGGACUUAGUCGAGGCCUCAAAUCACAUCAAACAACAUCGAAAUAACGAAUCGCACCUCGAAUCGAACUUAUGAGUUUAUGAAAUUUUUCAAAUUCUAUAUCUUGUGCCGAAACGUAUCAAAUCAAUCCGGAAUGACUUCAAAUUUUUGCAUACAAGUCAUAAAUGACAUAGUGGAGCUGUUCCUAUUUUCAGAAUUGAAUUCCGACCCCGAUAUCAAUAAAGUCAACUCCCGGUCAAACUUUCCAAAAAUCUUCUAUUUUUCAACUUUCGCCAAAAUGCGCCGAAUUGUCCUACGGAUUUCCAAAUCCAAAUCCGGUCAUUCUCCUAAGUCCGAAAUCACCAUAUGAAGCUAUUGGAAUCAUCAAAAUUCCAUUUCGGAGUCGUUUGCUCAAAAGUCAAAUCUCCGGUCAAACUUUAAAAAUUCAAGCUUUAUAAAUGAGAAUUGUUCUUUCAUUUAAAUUUCAAAUCUUCCGAAAAUCAAAUUUGACCCAAAACGCGGGUCAUAAUACAUAUUACGAAGUUGCUCGGGACCAUAAGUCACUGAACGGAACGUAAAUUCUCAAAACGACAAGUCAGGUCGUUACAUUCUCUCCCUCUUAAAACAUACGUUCGUCCUCGAACGUGCCAAUAAUUAUUCUGAGGACAUUAAAUUACUGAGUGUACUAUUACACACCUACUCGCGGUGAGUCCACGUCACCGAAAUUUUAACAUGGUCCGACAACACCAUCUGAAUUGAGAUUAUUUCUUUUAUCCACAUUUAUAAACUUUAAAACCAAUUUCUUACACUCUAAACAUUUCUAAAAGGCCUGAUUUUUCACAUCAACACACAUUAUUAGUCUCAACCGGUUGUAGCAACUGGUGCCUACGCACACGUCAUACGUAUUCCCAUAACUACAUCUCUGGUCAUAAUAGUUGUUCAUAAUCGAUUACAACGUCGUCAAUUAACCUCAUGUUGACUAAAAUCUCGUUUCAAACCUUCACCUUACUAAUAACGAGACACGAGGCAUGAAGACCUCAUAAUUAUUUACCCAAAUUAACGAGUCACAUUUAACGCCACCUGGGUACUCAUCUCGUAGGCUAAAACUCAAUAAUUGCCGCGCGAAAUGGCUAAAUAUGCACAUAAAAACACAUACAAGAAUUAUCAAAUAAGUCUAACAAGCAUGACUCCCUAUUAGUACUAUAGUACAAUUUAAUUUCACAAAGGAUAAUUUAAACACAUAAAUUUUUAUCACAAGGAUCUCGUCCUUAUAUAACUUCUACCGCGGCUUGUAGCCCGGUUUAAACAUUUCACAUCAUAUUAAAAUACAAGGAUCCCUGUUACACCCCAUGUUUUCGUACGUGAAAGUACGCCAUAAGUAAAUUGAUGGAAGCUCGGAAAUGAGAUGUUACAUCCCGCAUUUUCGUAUGUUAAAGUUUCGUCGUAAGUUAAUCGACGUAAGUUCGGGAAUGAGAUUAUGAUCAAAUUCACAAAGUGAUAUAGAUUGGCAACGUGAUUUUGCUUCAACAGAAUUUAUCCGAAGUUAUAUUACAAGGCUUCUUAGAAAAUAGCAACGGGAUUUUGCGAUUCUAAAGGAGUAUGGUGCAAUUUUUCUCAAGAAUAUCAUACGGAUUUUCCCCUACUUCGAUCUGCCGUUACGUAUUUUAUCACAAAAGACGUGUGUUAGAGGGAUUGUGAAGAUAAUCGGCUUAGGUAUGUUAAGGUUAUCCCUUCUUUCUUUUUGGCAUGAUCCAUAUGAUACAAACGAAACGAGCAAAAAUACAGCUUUCAUAAAUGACUUUAUUCAUAGAAAUACUAGGAGUGCCUAUGUUCUUGAUUCUCCAUGUGAAUUAUUAUUAUAUCUUCUGUUCAUGGGUCUCAGAAAAAUACGUAGUUGAUAAAGUUUAUCCAAAAGGCAUAUUGAUUUUAUGACAUUCCGAGGAAUCUUAUUAACGUAUUUCUUAUGCAUUUCAUUCAUUUAUAUAUGUACAUUGACCCAUGACAAGAUGGCGUUAUAUACGCGUAUAUUAUAUGUAUAUGGGAUAUGAAAAAAGGUUAUGGCGUUAUAUACGCACCACCACCUGAUCAGCUGGUAUACGUUGAUGAUUUUGCCCAUAGUGGCCGAGGUGAUAUGAUGGGAUGCCCCCAGAGGCUUGAUGAUGUUAUGAACGCAUAUACCUAUGCAUGGUAUGACAUUUAUACGCAUAUGCAUGACAUUAUAAAUAUGAAAUGAUUCACAGAGCUAUUCAGACUUACAUGUCGAGUCUUUUACUCCAUGUUCCUCUUAUGUCUAUUAUUUACUGAUUUUCAUUCUUNNNNNNNNNNNNNNNNNNNNNNNNNNNNNNNNNNNNNNNNNNNNNNNNNNNNNNNNNNNNNNNNNNNNNNNNNNNNNNNNNNNNNNNNNNNNNNNNNNNNNNNNNNNNNNNNNNNNNNNNNNNNNNNNNNNNNNNNNNNNNNNNNNNNNNNNNNNNNNNNNNNNNNNNNNNNNNNNNNNNNNNNNNNNNNNNNNNNNNNNNNNNNNNNNNNNNNNNNNNNNNNNNNNNNNNNNNNNNNNNNNNNNNNNNNNNNNNNNNNNNNNNNNNNNNNNNNNNNNNNNNNNNNNNNNNNNNNNNNNNNNNNNNNNNNNNNNNNNNNNNNNNNNNNNNNNNNNNNNNNNNNNNNNNNNNNNNNNNNNNNNNNNNNNNNNNNNNNNNNNNNNNNUGUAUUACAUGUUGGGUCGUCCAAUGUUGAGUAGUUCCUCAUGUUUUAUUCUACUUAUCUUACGAUAGCCUCUCUGACUCAUUUACCUGUAAUAGUAUGAUACGAAAGAUACGUUACGUUGGUACUCGGUUGAGUAAGGUACCGGGUGCCCAACGGGGCCCAUCAGUUUGGGUCGUGACAAUCCCGUCCUCAGCUCUGUGUCACAAGUAAUAUGCACAUCGGGCCAAUGAAAUCCUUCCAUUUCUUUUUCUUCUUUUAAUAAAUUUCUGAUAAACAAUUUCACAACAUAUAAUGAACCUCCAUACCGGUAGGGCAUAUAAUUCAUAAAAUUGUAAUCAAUUAUCCCAAAAUUACAUCAAAAUCCACUGUAGCGAGUAAUAGAAAGUCACUUUUGGACUCAUAGUCCUCAAUAGUGUAUAACACAAAAUGAUAGACACGGCUAUCGCAAUAAAAUCUCCCAUCAGCGGUAACCACAUAAGUAGGUUACAGAAUUACGAAGCUCACCCAUAAGUGGAGCAUAAUAGGAAGACUCGCCUCGAUACUUAGAACCGAAUCAAACUAAGAAAAAUAUUCCUUUAUAACAAAUCGGGAUAGUACCUAUAAUGAAACCAUCUGGUGUAGUAGCCUCGGCCAUACCAUAGCAAUUAUAUCAACGGGCUGGGCCUCCCCCUCGAGGGCGCCCUCUACCCGCCUGUCCUCCACCCCUAACUGGUUGUGCAUGUGGGGUAGUAACUGGAAUAGAGCCUGUAUCCUGAGUGUUCUGAUGAAAUUCACCUCUCCCAAGUCUGGGAUAAUCUCUCAUGAUGUGCCUAGUAUCACCACACUCAUAACAACCCCCCUAAGGUCGCGGUUUUUCAUACUGAGUCUGUGCCGGAUAACUGGAAUAACCACUGUAAGAAUCUCGUGCCGGUGGUGCGCUAAAAGUACUAACUGGAGCAUCGCGAGUAUUCUGAAUUACGGACUGGGCUGACCGACUGCCCAAACCUCCGCCAUGAUGAGUGAUAGCUACAGAGUAAAAUCCACUGAAUUCUCCAAAAUUUCGAGACCCCUUGGCCUCCUGUAGACUCCCUUUCCUCACUUCGAACACGUUCUAACAUCCUGGAAAUCUCUACUACUUACUGGAACGAAAUGUCAGACUGCAAUUCUCGAGCCAUGCAUAUUUUAAGAUCAUAAUCGAGCCCCUCAAUGAAUCUGCGGACUCCCUCUCUGACUGUAGGAACCAAAAUAGUUGCAUGACGGGCUAACUAACUAAAUCUGAUGGCAUAUUCUGACACCAUCAUGGCGCCAUGAUGCAACCGUUCAAACUCUGUGCACCACGUAUCCCGGAGAGUCUGGGGAACAAACUCUUUCAAAAAUAUCUCUGAAAAUUGAGCCCAAGUUGGUGGUGUUGUAUCGGCUAGUCUACCCUCUUCAUAAACUUGCCACCAUUGAUAUGCUGCUCCUGAUAGCUAAAAUAUAGUAAAGGCAACCCCGCUCACUUCCACAAUACCCAUGGUACGGAGAAUACGAUGACAAUUCUCUAGAAAUCCAUGUGCAUCCUCGGUAGUUGUGCCACUAAAAGUAGGUGGAUUAUACCUCUUAAAUCUCAGUCUCUUUUGUUCUUCUUCUGACACCUCUGGCCUGACCUCAGGCUGAAUCGAAAUAACAUGUUGUACCGGUACUAUACCCGAAACCUGACCAAUGUGAACCUGCUGCUCUGGAGUACAGGCGGUAAGAGUCUGAACUCCUCCCCCAAAUCUGUGAAAUAUUUGGUGAAACGGAUAUCAAUCCCGCCUGAGUUAAUGUACCAAACAUGUUCAGGAAUUGUGCUUAAAACUCCUGAAGUUCGGGGGUAACAACAGGUGUCUUUGGUGCUUGUAACCCAACUGGAGCUACUAACGGCUCCUCGACGUGCCCUUCCUCGGCCUCUACCUCGGCCCCGGCCUCUUACGGCCCUAGCAGAAUGCACGGGUGUCUGCUCAGCUGACCCAGAAACACGUGUCCUCACCAUCUGUGACAGAAUCAAUAAAUCCGCACGAUAGGAAUGAAAGUAGUGGAAAUUUCCUAACAGUUCUGUAGCCUCUUGAAGAAAAGUACAGACGUCUCUAUACCGAUCCGCAAGACUCUACUAAACUCGUUCGUGACUCGUAGAACCUAUGAACCUAGAGCUCUGAUACCAAAUUAUCACGAUCCAAUAUACCACCAUAGGCGUCGUGAUAGCACUUAGUCUCUAAGACUAGGUAAGCCGAUUACAAUUACAUUUCAAGCCUUUGUUUUUUGAAACAUAUAAUUUAAUACAAGUGUCGAAAUCAAAAGCGGAAAAAAAUAUAAAAAUCUUCCAAAACUGAUAAUACUGAGUCACGAACUCUAACUGAAUACAUGCAAUGAUAUCAAGGAUCAAGUAUACAAUACUUGGUCGAAUAAGAGUUGACAAUACAAUAAAAAUGGAAAGAAUCCAAGGGACUGCGGUGGCCAAGCAGCUCUACCUUGAAUCCUUGCGAUCAACACACUAACUCUGUCCAAGUCCGAUAUCUCCAAUACCUGGAUCUGCACAAAAAUGUGCAUAAGUGUAGUAUGAGUACACCACAGUCGGUACCCAGUAAGUAUCAAGACUAACCUCGGUGGAGUAGUGACGAGGUAUAGUCAAAUAACCUGUGCAUUUUAGCAUACAAAAUUAAACGAAAGACAAACAACAAUGAUGGCAAUAAUAAUCAACUACUGAUAUAAGCAGCAAGGCAACAAGAACACCACAAAUAUUGCCCAAACAAAUAAUGAACACUAGCACAGCCAAUAAAUCAAGUCCUUCAAAAUAUACAUCUUUUAUCUACAAAUUUUUUGAAUAGAAAUCUUUAGAAUAUGAUCCUUUCAAAUAAAUAUCUUACGAAUACAAUUCCUUCAAAUAAAUAACUUUCGAAUAUGGUUCUUCAAAUAAAAUCUUUAGAAUAUAAUUCUUGCAAUUAAAUAACUUUUGAAUAAAAUUCUUCAAAUAAAUUCUUUCGAAUAUAAUUUUUUCAAAUAAAUAAUUUUCGAAUAUAAUUCUUCAAAUAAGAUCUUUCGAAUAUAAUCCUUUCAAUUAAAUAGUUUUUGAAUAAAAUUCUUCAAAUAAAAUCUUUCGAAUAUAAUUCUUUCAAAUAAAUAACUUUCGAAUAAAAUUCUUCAAAUAAAAUCUUUCGAAUUUAAUUCUUUUCAAGUAAAAGUCACAAUGUGAUACCUCAUUUCAUAUUCAUAAAAAUUAUGGGUCUCAGCCCACUUACAUAUUUUCACGGCACCCCGUGCCCAUAUCUCUAUCACAACUGCACGAACAAUUCACAAAACAUAAGACUAAAUAAUAUAAUGAAAUGACUGAUAAGCGAACAAAUAAGAAUUUACAGAAAGACAACAACACGGCAAAUAGAGGUAAACAAUAGGGGUGCUCCCGAGGUACAGCCUCGAAGUCCCAAAAGUAAAUACGCAACAGGGGAUCUUCCGAGAAACCGCCUCGUAGUCCAAAAAGUAAAUAUGCAAACAGGGGAUCUCCCGAGGAACCGCCUCGUAGUUCCAAAAGUAAAUAUGCAAACAGGGGGAUCUCCCGAGGUACCGCCUCAUAGUCCCAAAAGUAAAUAUGCAACAGUAAAGACGGAAGAAUAACUCAACAACAACAGCCUCUUCUUAAAUCCAAAUUUCUGAUAAAUAUAUUAACGUCUCCAUUUAAACUUAUUAAAUUAACUAUUUGCAGAUGGAAAAACCAUAAUGUAAUUAUUUCCAGAAAAUGUCAACUCAACAAGCACACUGAAUUCACAUAAAAAUCAAAGUAGCAAUAACACCAAAUUAUCAUAUAAAAUAAAUUCGACAACAAAGAACGAGGCAUGACAAAUAAGGAUUUAAUAAGUGCCAGAAAUUUCUAAUUUAAUACUUAAAAAUUCCUACAAAUUUAAAAUAAUAUAAUUUGCACAUAUAAGCCCGAGUACGUACUCGUCACCUUGCGUACACGGCUUUCACAUUACACCAACUGGCACAUACGACUCAAUGCUUAAGGGGUAAUUCCUCCACUCAAGGUUAGGCAGAAUACUUACUUUUUUGAAGUUAGGCCGAUAUUCCAAAAUAACCUUCUUGCUUGAAUUGACCUCCGGACACUUUAAAUCUAUCCAAAUUAAUUGUAUAACUUCAUUAAAAUUCAUCGAAAAUAAUUCCGGUUAAUAAAACGUCGACUUAAAAAUUCACAUUAAAAAGUCAACCAAAAUUCAACGCGGGGGCCGCCUCUCGGAACCCGACAAAAUUUUUACAAAUUCGAAUGCCCAUUCCGAUACGAGUUCAACCAUACUAAUUUUAUCAAAUUCCGAUAACAACUCGACCUCCAAAUCUUAAAUUUUCGUUCUUGAAGAGUUUUACAAAUUUCUCCAAUUUCUUCCAUUUGAUUCACUAAUAAUUGAUGAAAAUAACCAAGGAAUCAUGAAGUAUAAUCACUUUUGGAUAUAGAAUAUUUAUCCCAAUCUAUAUGGUAAAAAUUGCCUCAAACAUCGCUUCAAUCCGAGCUCCAUAGCUCUAAAUAUGUUAAAAUGGCUGAAACCCCCGUUUUUAGAAUUUGUCCAGGCAAGUCGCAUUUGACAUUUGAGACUUAUAAAUCGUAUUUGACACCUGCGAUUUUCCUCAGCCCCAGAAAAAUAGUUGUCUCCGAAUGAUAAAUGAUUUAACUUUCUGGAAACUAGACACCAAGGGUUACAACUUUCAUGUUUUGCUCAUCUCCCAAUUCCUUAUAGAUGGCGAGAUAUAAGCUCCCAAAGUCAGCCAUGUGCAGUAGAAAUUUUUGCGAUGCAUACUUUGUAGCCAAAAACCAGCAGUUAAAAAUGGCCUAGAAAUGGUCCGAAACCACUCUGAAACUCACCCGAGCCACUCGGGACCCGUCCGAACAAACCAACAAGUCUCAAAACAUAUUACGGAUUUAGUCGAGGCCUCAAAUCACAUUAAACAAUACUGAAACAACGAAUCGCACCUCGAAUCGAACUUAUGAGUUUAUGAAAAUUUUUAAAUUCUAUAUCUUGUGCCGAAACGUAUCAAAUCAAUCCGGAAUAAUUUUAAAUUUUUUAUGCAUGUCAUAAAUGACAUAAUUGAGAUGUUCCAAUUUCCAUAAUUGAAUUCCUACCCUGAUAUCAAUAAUGUUAACUCCCGGUCAAACUUUCCAAAAAUCUUCUAUUUUUCAACUUUUGCCAAAAUAUGCCGAAUUAUCGUACUGACUUUCAAAUCCAAAUCCGGACAUGCUCCUAAGUCCGAAAUCACCAUACGAAGCUAUUGGAAUCAUCAAAAUUCCAUUCCGGAGUCGUUUGCUCAAAAGUCAAAUCUCCGGUCAAACUUUAGAAAUUCACGCUUUAUAAAUGAGAAUUGUUCUUUCAAUUAAAUUCUGAAUCUUCCGAAAACCAAACUCGACCCUACACCCGGGUCAUAAUACAUAUUAAGAAAUUGCUCGGGACCUUAAGUCACUGAAUGGAACGUAAAUUCUUAAAAUGACAAGUCGGGUCGUUACAACUUUCUCUUAAGAAAAUAAGGAAGGGGGGUGUCAACUAGAUCGAAGGAGAGGAAUACAUAGCCAAUGAAGCUAUGGAAUUUUUUCAGAAACAAUUUUCUCAGGAAAUACAGAAUAGAGACCUAUUACCAGUGAACCUACUACUAAAGAUUAUAGGGAGUGAAGAGAAUUUGGCACUGAAUUCUAUCCCUACGAUAGACAAAAUAAGGGAGGUGGUGAUGAUGUCGAUGAGCAGCCACAGUGCACCAGGGACUGAUGGAAUGUCUAGAAAGUUCUAUCAUUCUUGUUGGGAGAUCAUCAAGAAUGAUCUUUUACUAAUGAUACUUGAUUUUUUUACAGGUACUGAAUUACCAAAGGCAUUCACACAUACAUGCCUUGUACUCGUACCUAAGGUAGGGUGCCCACAACAGUUUAGUGAACUCAGACCAAUAAGUCUGAGUAACUUCACCUGCAAGAUCAUCUCAAAGUUGUUGAAUCAAAGAAUGGCCCCAUUGAUGCAGAAGCUGAUCUUUCCUAACCAAACAUGCUUUGUUAAAGGGCGAUCAAUCACAGAAAAUAUUAUAAUGACUCAGGAGAUGGUACAUAGCAUCAGAAAAACUAAGCAGCAUGGAAAUGUUGUACUGAAGGCUUGACAUGACAAAGGCUUAUGACAGAGUUGAAUGAGAGUAUCUAUGCCAAGUACUUAGACAACUUGGAUUCAAUGAACUAUGGAUAGACAGUGUAUGGAGGACCCUCUCAAAUGUAUGGUACUCAGUGAACAUAAAUGGGGGCAGAUAUGGUUUCUUUAAGUCAAUCAGAGGAAUCAAGCAGGGGGACCCUUUAUCACCCUCAUUAUUUGACACAGGAGCUGAACUUCUUUCAAGAUUGAUGGACAAUUUAGUAAAUGAUGGAUUUAUUCCUUAUGUUGUUGAUAGGAAAGGGCCUAUUAUUACUCAUUCAUCCUAUGCGGAUGACACUGUUUGGUUCUCCACUAAUGAUCCAGAAUCUUUGAAGAUGAUGAUGGAUAAUUUGAAUAUCUAUGAACAAUGCUCAAGAUAAUAGGUAAAUAAGUAGAAGUCAGGUUUCUUGAUGCAUCCAAAUUCUCUGGAUGAUACAAUUGCAGAGGUGGGAAGAAUCACUGGUGUCACAACUUCAAAAUUCCCUAUGCAAUACCUUGGGUGUCCUAUUUAUGUUGGAAGGAAAAAUGUUAUGUACUUUAACAAUAUGGUAACAAAGGUAGCUGCAAGAUUACAAGGCUGGCAAGGAAAAAUGAUUUCUUAUGGUGGGAAAGCUACUCUUAUCAAAUUUGUGUUGCAAGCACUACCUCUUCAUCAGCUGUCAGUGUUAUCUCCACCUAAAACUAUCAUUAAACAAAUAGAGAAAAUUGUGGCUAAUUUUUUCUCGGAAAAAUUGGAGGACAAACACAAAUUUCAUUGGAUGAAGUGGUCUGAUUUAUGCUACCCAACUUCUGAAUGAGGGGUAGGAUUUAGAUCCAUCCAAGAUUUUGUAAUGCUUUUGCUGCCAAGAUGUGGUGGAAUUUCUGAACUAAUAACUCCUUGUUGAGUAAAAUCCUGACUGCCAAAUAUUGUAAUAGGGGUCACUCUAUGUCAAAGAAGUGGAGAUAUGGCCGGUCGCAUAUCUGGAGAAGGAUGAUGGAGAUCAAAGAUGUAGUGUAACCUUUCAUUCUCUGGAGAAUAGGCGAUGGUGAUUCUUCAUUCUGGUGGGACAACUGGACUAGCUUGGGACCACUGUCCAAGCUAACAGAUGGCAGGCCAACUCCAAUGAAUAUCAAAGUAAAAGAUAUCAUAUCAAAUGGUAGGUGGAGGUGGGAUUUGCUAAGUCUUUUAUUACCUGCGAGUGUUGUUAACAAGAUACAAAGGGUUGAAGUGGCUCAGAGCAGGAAAGAUUGGGCCUACUGGACUCUAGAAAACUCAGGUAGCUUCUCUACAAAAUCAACUUGGCAACAAUUAAGGACAUCUAGAAGUGAAACCUUCAUUGAAAAGUCCUUAUGGCACAAAAGAAUGCCUUUUAAUUUUUCUUUUCUGAUGAUGAGACUUCUAAAGAACAAAGUCUCAACAAAUGAACGGAUUCAAAGAGUUGGUAUCAUGAUCCCCUCAAGAUGCAGUUGUUGUACCAGACAUCAACAUGAGACAAGCUCACAUCUAUUUGGUGAUAGUGACAUUGCUAGACAGGUUUGGAAUUAUUUCUCCGGUACAUAUGGCAUAAGGCAUACAACAAGAUCAGUUAGGAGUUUGACGAUGCAGCGGUGGCUGACUAUACCAAAGAACGAAGUGCAUAUGAUUCUAUUGCAGUGUCUUCCAUCUGUAAUUUUUUGGAAAAUAUGGAAGAACGGAUGUGCAACAAGGUUUGAGAAUUUAUAUAUGUCUAGAAGUAUAUCAUCUGUUAGGUGUGUCACUUAAUGUCAUUGAUUCUACAAUGUCAAUUCUCUAAGUUAAAUUUACCUGUAACAUGGGAGGACAAGUGUGCUUAUGUGGAGAAAUUAUAACAAGUUAUCCACAGUCAAUUAGUGAUAUGGUCCAAACCUAAGGAGGGGUGGAUGAAAAUGAAUGUAGAUGGAUGUAGCAAGGGUAAUCCUAGGAGUGCUAGAGGGGGUGGCAUAAUAAGGGAUCAUCGUGGGCAUAUGAUUUUAGCAUUUGUUGAUUACUUUGGUCUUUGUAGUAACAAUGUGGCUGAAGCUAUGGCAAUUCUACAAGGGUUACGUAUAUGUAUUGAUACAGGUUUUCUUAAAAUGACUUUUGAAUCUGAUUCUUUUAUGUUGGUUAAUAUAAUCAAUAAGAAAGUCAGACCUCCAUGUAAUAUUCAUAACAUCAUGGCACAAAUAGGGGAGUUGAUACAGAAGGGAACCUUCCUUUUUAUUCAUAUAUUCAGGGAAGGAAAUAUGAUUGUAGGCCAAAUGGAAAGUUUGGGUGAGAAAGUCGGGAACCAGAUUGUCUUCAUUGAAGAUCUUUCGUUGCCUAGGCAAGUUAGAGCUUACUUGAAGCAAGAACAGGAUGGCUUCCCAAAUUUCAGAUUUAGGCCAAAGAAGAAUCUCUUCUUUGUUAGUAAUGGCUGAGAUGAAGGAGCUUAACUAUGUUAUACACUUACACUAUUUAGCUUUGUGCUUUAUAGUUGACUCUUCAAAUAUUGUAAUAGAGGAGUCCUCCCAUAUCUUAGCUACAUCCCUUUUGCAUUUUUGCAUAGGAAUGUCUAGCAGCACUGUUCAUCAUGCUCUAGAGGCUAUGGUUUAUGUCCUUCUCCAUGUACUUUUGUUAUUUGAUUUAUAUACAUGUUAGGGCUAGUCCUAACUCCCACCAACCUGGUGGAUCUUUUGACUAAAGAAAAAAGACUUAAAGGAGAAUAGUUCGGAUUGAUAACAAGUCAAUGUGUAACUUCCUAACUCGAAUGGAAUGUUGUGGAGCAGAUAACUGAUAUAGUUACAUACAUUAUCAAAUAGUAGUUCUGAAACCAAGUGACAAAAGAUUCAAAUUACUUUGUCAUUUAUAUACUGUGGCUAGUUUGCGUUAAAAGGCAAAGUUUAUUGAGUGAUGUAUAUUGGUUUGUCACGCCCCAAACCUGGGGAGGCGUGGCCGGCACUCGAUGCGAUAUUUGGCCCGAGCGUACCACUCUGUAACUGUGAACUCUGGAGGGGUAACCCUAAACUUAGGCCAACGAGGACUACCUGUGAGCUAACAAUACCAAUCAAGGCCGAUAAUUCCACCAUGAAUGUCUACAACCAGCAAUACCAAACUAACAUGUACACAAGGAUGGCAAGGCCACAAUACUAAUAUACAAAAUAUACAGGACUCGUCUACAAGCCUCUAGAGAUAACUGAACUAUAUCAUGGUCGGGACAGGGCCUCGACCUACCCAUCAAACCUGUAUAUAUAAAAUGGACUCCAAGGUCUAGACCUUAUAACUCCGAGCAAGUAGAGCUUACCAGCCAAGAUGAUAUUUGACUCUGUCUAGUGGGAAGGUCUAUCCAACUAUCUAUCAGGACCUGCAAGCAUGAAAUGCAGCAUCCCCAGCAAAAGGGACAUCAUUACGAAUAAUGUACCAAGUAUAUAAGGCAUAAAAAUCAGUAUAUAAAAGAGAUGAAAGAAACAUGGAGUAAAGGACACAACCUGUAAGUCUGAAUAAAUCUGUAAAUCAUGAAACAGUUAUAAUGUCAUGCAUAUGCAUAUAAAUGUCAUAUCAUGCAUAGGUAUAUGCGUACAUAACAUCAUCAAGACUCUAAGAGCAUCCAAUCAUAUUAUCUCGGCCUCUGUGGACGAAAUCAUCAACGUAUGCUAGCUGAUCAGGUGAUGGUGCAUAUAUAACUCUAUAACAUUUCCCCAUAUCCCAUAUACAUAUAAUAUACAUGUAUAUAACGCCAUCUGGUCACGGGUCAAUAUAUAUGUAUAAAUGAAUGCAAUGCAUAAUGAAGUAAAUCAAUAAGAUCUCUAGGAAUAUCAUAAGAUUAAUAUACCUUCGGUUAAUAUCACAAAUAAACUUUAUCAAUUUACGUAUUUUCUGAGAUCCAUGAACAGACGAUAUAAUAGUAGGACAUAUAGGGAAUCAAGAACAUAGACAACCCUAGUACUUCUAAGAAUAGAGUCAUUUGUGAAGGUUGUGUGUUUGCUCGUUUUGUUGUAUCAUAUGGAUCAUGCCAAAAGGAAAGAAUGGAUAGACUUAACAUACCUUAUCAACGAAGUUACAACUAUUUCACAAGUCCUCACACCUCUUACAAAUGGUAAUCUAUAUCAUACAAAGGAUUGGUAUCAAUAUCGACUUCAUAUUCUAUAGGGAAGUACAUUUAGUCAUUUUAUCGAACAACUUAUGUGCAUAACUUCAUAGGGUCUUUUAUAGAUAUAAUUCAAUAUGUUAUAUCACAGUGAUCUUCAUCUUCACUUCCCCUCAUCCUCACCAUGAUAUCCAUACCUUUACAAUUCCCUUUGGUAUCUUAAAACAUGUAAAAAUAGCCCACAUAAUAUAGCUUCAAGUUUCAUAGUUACUAGUUUCUUCAAGAAUCCUCCAAAACAAUUCAACUAACACUUGUACAAACUUAAGAUUAGGUUAUGGAAGAUGAAACUUACAUAAAAUAUACCAAGAACCCUCUACUUCAACACCAAGUAGCUUCCUAAGUCGUCACAAUGAGAAGGAAAGGGAGUUAAUGGUAACCACAAUAUUCUUUACGCGGAACUUGGGUGGUUUAUCUUUGGAUUCUCUCUAGGAUUAUGGGGGGGAACCCUUGGAGCGAAUCUAGGAGGGUUUAGGAACUGUUUUUGUCGAGAAAAAUGAGUUAAAACGACUUAGAAUUGACUUUUAUACAAGCUGGAGUUUUACACCGACUUUGUGGGUCCCAAGGGAGCUACUUGCGCAGUCUUGCAAAAAUGUAAAUAUCUCUCUACUCUGAUGUCGUAUCGAUGAACGGUUUAAUGCGUUAGAAACUAGACUCGUAGAUAUUCAAUUUGGUAGAUGGAUUACUCCAUAAUUCAAAGUACAUGGGGAGAAAAGCUCAGCUACAUUUGACCUAAUUAUUAGCACAUUUAUGAAUGUAACUUGUGAUGACCUUUGCCAACCUUUGUUCCACAACUCGCUUGACUUCAAAACAUAACACACGACUAUCAUACGACUAAAAUAACACAUAACAUAAUCUCCUUAUCAUGUUAAGCACCCUAGUCUCACCCCGAAAGUAGAUGUUAUAACACUCCCAACUUAUCGACUUUCGACGAAACUUAUUUUUUUCAAUUCGUUUAGCUUCUAAGCCUUCCAACCCUCUUGGUACUUGUUAUCCAUAAUUUUUAAUAUUUGUAACCUCCAAAGUAAUAUUAUUAAAUUACUUUAUGUACUUUCAAAGAUGAUCUCAUUUCUGAGCUUACAUUAAUUGACUUACGAUAUACUUUUACGUAUGAAAAUAUAUGGUAUAACCUCAUUCCCCCCUUUGGAACAUUCGUCCUCGAAUGUUGACUGGUGCACUUAUCAGUCUCAUAACCUAUAGCUCUUAUGAAUACUUUAAUUUUGUCCCAUCCAUCUAGGCAAUUGUUCUGUGAAUAAAUCCAAAGGCCAGGGCAUUCCCCCUUUUAGGCCUUUUUCACACACCACGACUUAUGAUUGGAAUUCUUCCAAUCUCGUAACUGUUUCUACCUUCUGUCAUGCAGCAUGUAUGACUCUGACCUGAUGUGCGCCUAUGUGACUCUUCUCUCCUUUUUCCUCUAGCUUUUAGUCAAUCUCUAGGCCUCACUUUGUGAACAUAUACAGUACUAUGACAAGUUAUCCCUCUGGGCAUUUGUAGGUAUACUAAAGUUCUUCGCUCUGUACUUUGUCAAACUUACGACUAUUGAUAUAUCUUGUUUCAUAGCCUCGGUUAUCUAUGCUUAUGACUUUACUAUAACUAGGUAGGUUAUACUAUACCAUAACUCUUACUUCGGUUUAUUAUUACCGAGGUCUACUACCCAACUCCAGGUUACUCUCUUACUGCUUAUCCUAUAUGUAUAAAUUUAAGUCCUUUAAUGCUCCCUCGUUACUGUUCAUCUUAAGAGUGACAACCUAAUCUUAUCUCAUACUUUGGAACUUUUAUCUAUCUAUUGGUGAUUCACCUCAAUGUUUAUCUAUAAUCAACCAGUGAUAACUUGAAACCUCUUACGUAAUACAUUAUCACUAGGGCUCACGUAUCAUCGGGGAAUAUUUGAAGUGAUUUGCUUAAUCCACCUAGGGGCGAUAUUAUACUUCAAUAACUAUAUUUCAUGGCAUCCCAACGAAGUUCAUCUUAUGGGGGGUAUUCUAAUCCCGUACAAUUCAUGAAAUCCCUUCUCUAUGAAUCAUUACUUAAUUGAAGGCCUAAAUGUCAUUCUCUUAUCAUUUAUCACAAUUACACUUUCAUUUUACUACCAAGGCAUAAUUCCAUCUCUUCUAAAUGCUCCUAGUCUUAGACUCCUCUAAGUUCAUUUAGGCUAUACUGAGCUUUCUAUAACUUACAAAAACUAUCAGCUCUCUUGUUUUCAUGGGCUUAAUCCUGAGGAUUUACCUAUUCUCGUCACUUUCUCACUCGCCUUUUCUUAUUCUUACUCCUGUCUUCCUAAAACCUUGUCGCUCUACCAUGCCUUAGCUUGCGACCUACACAUAUCUAUUUAUACUGCUCACAACCUUCCUUUAACUUGCUUACACCAUAGAUUUCCUUAUGUUAUUCUGGAACCUCAAGUGAGACAUCAUAUCGUCUCUAACUCUUCUUUACUCUCUUAACUAGACCUCUCAGUACCUGGAAACCAUAGGCUAGAAGAUAUGCCAUUGACGACACAGCUAUUAUUUCUGGAUACUGAAUCUCAGCGCUUCUAACCCUCUAUCUGAAGUAUGGACUAUUCACAACCUUCUACACUUGAGUAUCUCGUACCUUCUUCACCUUUACCUUACUUACCUUAAAAUAUCGCAUCGUAUCUUCUAUCUCUUUCAUAACCUCCCUUCCACAUAGUUAUAAUUCGCAUCCACAACUUGAAGUUCUACUAUAAUACUUGCACAUCUGGUGCGUACACAAUCCGGUGGGAGCUUCAUAAUGACUUCUUAUGAGGCUGGUACUCUUCUAACUGGCUUUAUCAUAGAGCUGUUAUAGAAUAUGGUUGUUGUACUAUCUCUCUUGUACCUAUAAUAUUAAGAGUGAUUCUGCAAUGUUCUCAAUCACGAUUUCUAUAAUUAUCUGGGUCCAAUAAUCAGACUCUUGUUUUACUUAGCUGAUGUAACUCUUUAGUUUCCUCUUCUCUCUCAGCCUUUAUGUAGGCUUAAGCUAUCUUCCGAUCUGCGGCUUGGAAUAUUAGUUAUUACUUUAGCCUUUCAUGGAUGCUAUGGAAUAUCCAUAAUAUAAUCUUUUAACAAUUCAAUCCUUUGUCUGUGACCUGGACUCAAUUCUUUCUUUUAACUUAUACCGUAGUCUUCUACGGCUGUAUGAAUAUCAACAUAUAUGCUGCAUGGAUAAUAUUCCAAAAUCUUAAGUGUGUUCAUAACGUAACUAACUCUGGGUCAUUGAUCGAAUAAUUUCUUUCGUUCCUUCUCAACUUUCUUUAAAUGUAAGCAAUUACUUUUCCUGGUCAUUCUGACACUUAUUGUGUGAAUACUUGGCUUAUCUUAGUUCACACACAUGCCAUCAUUUUUGUGAAACUCAUAUGAUCUCGAAUAUUACUUUUGAUUUUACUUCUCGCUCAUUAGCCACGAUAGGUGCCACUUUCUUAUGGAGUGCAUACGAUGUUGUACUGAGACUGCUGUUACAAGACCAUUUCUUCUUCAAGUUACUAUGCUUAGGUUGAAGCCUUCUUCCUUAUUUCCUUAACUAGUAUUUCGUUGUAAUACUUAGGAAAGGUCAUCUAACUCUUAUAAAGCUGCGGUCUUAUUACCUCGUAUACCCAAUGGAAUUUUUGAUGUUCUUACUCGCCUAUAAUUAUCCUUAGUUACUUACCUCCAUGCCCUUGUGCUCGUAGGGUUAAAUCUGGACUGAAAUUUUUUACUGUCUCCCCAGUGGCUCUCUUUUAUUUUCGUAACACUUAUACGGUACCUUUAACUACCCCAACUCCUAUCUGAAUAUUUCUCAAGGAUUAGGAUGUCGUAUCUGCGAGAUUGAAUUUCCUAUGCUGGGUUUCACUAUGUUUAUCUUGCAUGAUCUACUGCUUUAUGUAAGACCUCUUGUCUAGCCAUAACUAGGCUCUUCCUGAAUUAACUACUAACUACUCGUGAGUCCAUGCUCAUAUCUAUAUUCUGUGUAACCUCUCUUGGGUUAUGUCUUUUGUCUUAAUUUACCUUUUGUACUAGCUCCUAAUAUAUCAAGUAUCCAUUCGCACUUAUUUACCAAUUAAACUCCUGGCAAGGAACCCUUACUACCUAUUCUCAUCCCUUUCACCUUUUUACUGCAUUCUUCCUUUACCAUUUCAUAGUUACUUGAACCACUUAAUUCUAACUUAAUACCAUAUCGCACCAUCUUUCCCCCUUUAGGGGAGUACUAGCAUUUAAUGCUCUGAAGUUUACAUGCAGAUGUUUUACCUUUUCAUCUUCGGUGUCCUUCCAUAUUUUCAAUGACCCUUACUCGCCUUGCAGUAACCCUUCUAUACUAGGGAUAAUUGAAUUUCUUAUGCAUGAGGGUGACACCUAGUGUAACAGGCACAUUUAGUCCCUUAAGAUUAACUCUGCUCACAGGGCUUGCUUUAGGGAAACGUCUUCCUGAAUGAACUUUAAAGGUUAUUCUUUUGUUGUCCAUUCUAUUAUUGCCGGAAUGCUAUCUCUGAAAUUCUCACGAUGCCGACUAUUAUCAAAUCUUCUGAUCCCUAAUUCAUGUUCAGUUUAUCUUGUUCACUAGCUCAUAGUGAUUUCUAUUACUUCGGGGGUCUAACUUAGCCUUCUGGUAAUCACGUUCGAGUCACCAACUCAUUUCUCGAAAUGAGGGUAUGACUUUAUAGCUUAUACAGUUUAAUUCUCUCAAGGCCUGCCACCUCUUGUCUUUUCCUUCACUUGACUAUAGAUUUUGUCAUAUUUUGAUUUAUCGUUAUCACCCACAUAUCACAUUUUACUCAUAAUGCUUCAUUUACUCUCUUCUUAUUCUCCGGCUAAUAUUUUUGUCUAUCACUUUAUUUUGAAAACUUCAACAAAAUAUUCUUUCACUUUUAGCUCUCCUUGCUUUAUCUCACUGGCUCUUGGGGACGCCUAACAUUCUCUUUUUUUUAACUAGGGGCGGGAGUCAUACUAAGGUAUAUAUUUAUCCCUUCUAGGAUUCCACUGCCCAUCUUCUGAAAUUUCUGAAUAUACUAGUAAUUAUAUCUAACUGUACUAUUCUAGAGUGCACCAUCUGGGUAUCUCAGAAGGAAAUCUAUUAUCACGUUUUCACUAUCUUUUGGAAAUUUUAGCUAAUGAUAACAAUCAAUCCACCAUUUUGUGUUACUCUAAUCCCAGCUGGAUCUUGAUAUCCCAUUAUUCUCUUAAACUAUAUCUGUUAGCUCCCAUAGGGCAUAACUGAGAAAGGUGUGGCCAAUUGUAUAUAUCUUUAUUAUUGUUGAAAGUAACUCAGAAUGCUAAUAUUUCUCUGUCAUAAUUAUAAAUACUAAUAAUCUUCACUAACUGGGUAUCUCGUACCCUCCUUUACCUUGUUUCUGUUACCUGUUGAAACUUAUACUUUUACAUUCUGAUACUCCCAUAGCCUGCUAUUCGCGGGGUGCGUUAGAUAUUCCAAUCCUAAGAUCUUAAGCAGGAAAUUUGCACAUCGGGUAUGCACAAUCUGAUAAGGCCUCAAAUUGGGCCAUGUCGUCAAGAACUCUCCCUCUACUAGUGCCCUUACUUUCUGUUGUAUUAGCCCUCUGGCUAGCUGUAAUCUUUCUAAUUGCAAAUGUCUUUGUAUCAUCAGCAAACAUAAGUUCUGGCUUAAACUUUUAUGACUCAGCUCUAUAGCACGAUUUAGAUUUGAAAGAAGGGUAACAGACUCUUGUAGCUUCCUGUUUAUAUAGUGUGGUGCACAACACAUUUAUAAAUAAGGCUCUACUAGACACGACUUAUAGACUCCCUAGGAUAACACUGCUCUGAUACCAAGUUUGUCAUAUCCCAAACUUGGGGAGGCGUGGCUGGCACCCGAUGCCAUAUUUGGCCCGAGCGUACCACUCUGUAACAGUGAACUCUGGUGGGGUAACCCUCAACUUAGGCCGACGAGCACUUCCUGUGAGCUGACAAUACCAAUCAAGGCCGAUGAGGCCACCAUGAAUGUCUACAACCAGCAAUACCAAACUAACAUGUACACAAGGCUGGCAAGGCCACAAUACUAAUAUACAAAAUAUACAAGACUCGUCUACAAGCCUCUAGAGAUAACUAAACUGUAUCAUGGUCGGGACAGGGCCUCGACCUUCCCAUCAAAACUGUAUAUAUAAAAUGGACUUCAAGGUCUAGACUUGAUAAAUCUGAGGAACUAGAGCUUACCAGCCAAGCUGAUAUUUGACUCUGUCUACUUGGAAGGUCUAUCCAACUAUCUAUCAGGACCUGCAUGCAUGAAAUGCAGCAUCCCCAACAAAAGAGAUGUCAGUAUAUACCGAGUAUGUAAGGCAUAAAAAUCAAUAUAUAAAGACAUGAAAGAAACAUGGAGUAAAAGACUCAACCUGUAAGUCUGAAUAGCUCUAUGAAUAAUAAAACAUUUAUAAUGUCAUGCAUAUACGUAUAAAUAUCAUAUCAUGCAUAAGUAUAUGCAUACAUAACAUCAUCAAGCCUCUGAGGGCAUCCCAUCAUAUUAUCUUGGCCUUUGUGGGCGAAAUCAUCAACGUAUGCCAUUUGAUUAGGUGGUGAUGCGUAUAUAAUGCCAUAACAUUUUCCCAUAUCCCAUACACAUAUAAUAUAUGCGUAUAUAAUGUCAUCUGGUCAUGGGACAAUAUACAUGUAUAAAUGAAUGCAGUGCAUAAUGAAGUAAGUCAAUAAGAUCUCUCGGAAUGUCAUAAGAUCAAUAUGCCUUUGGUUAGUAUCACAAAUAAACUUUAUCAACUUAUGUAUUUUCUGAGACCCAUGAACAGACGAUAUAAUAACAGUACAUAUGGGGAAUCAAGAACAUAGGCAACCUUAGUACUUCUAAGAAUAUAGUCAUUUGUGAAAGUUAUGUGUUUGCUCGUUUUGUUGUAUCAUAUGGAUAGUGCUAAAAGGAAAGAAGGGAUAGCCUUAACAUACCUUAUCAAUGAAGUUACAACUGUUGCACAAGUCCUCGCACCUCUUACAGGUGGUAAUCUAUAUCAUACAAAGGAUUGGUAUCAAUAUCGACUUCAUAUUCUAUAGGGAAGUUCAUUUAGUCAUUUUAUCGAACAACUUAUGUACAUAACUUUGUAGGGUCUUUUAUAGCUCUAAUUCAAUAUAUUCCAGCACAAUGAUCUUCAUUUUCACUUCCCCUCAUCCUCACCAUGAUAUCCAUACCUUUACAAUUCCAUUUGGUAUCUUAAAACAUGUAAAAACAGCCCACACAACAUAGCUCAACUUCAAGUUUCAUAGUUACUAGUUUCUUCGAGAAUCCUUCAAUAAAAUUCAACCCAACACUUGUACAAACUUAAGAUUAGGUUAUGGAAGAUGAAACUUACUUCAAAUAUGAACCCGAUGUUUUUUAAACUCACUUCAACACUAAGUAACUUCCUAAAUCGUCACAACGAGAAGGAAACAGAGUUAAUGGUAACCACGAUAUUCUUUACAUUGAACUUGUAUGGUUUAUCUUUGGAUUCACUCUAGGAUCAUGGGGGAACCCUUGGAGAGCAUCUAUGAGGGUUUAGGAACUGUUUUGAUCGAGAAAAAUGAGUUAAAACGACUUAGAAUUGACUUAUAUACAAGCUGGAGUUUUACACCGACUUUGUGGAUCCCAAGGGAGCUGCUUGUGUAGUCUCGUGAAAAUGCGAAAAUGCGAAUAUCUCUCUACAAACGGUUUAAUGCGUUAGAAACUAGACUAGUAGAUCUUCAAUUUGGUAGGUGGAUCACCCCAUAAUUCAAAGUAUAUGGGGAGAAAAGCUCAGCUACAUGUGACCUAAUGUUCAACACAUUUAUGAAUGUAACUUGUGAUGACAUUUGCCAACUUUUGUUCCAUCGCUUGACUUCAAAACAUAACACAAGACUAUCAUACGACUAAAAUAACUCAUAACAUAACCUCCUUAUCAUGUUAAGUACCCUAGUCUCACCCCAAAAGUACACGUUAUAACANNNNNNNNNNNNNNNNNNNNNNNNNNNNNNNNNNNNNNNNNNNNNNNNNNNNNNNNNNNNNNNNNNNNNNNNNNNNNNNNNNNNNNNNNNNNNNNNNNNNNNNNNNNNNNNNNNNNNNNNNNNNNNNNNNNNNNNNNNNNNNNNNNNNNNNNNNNNNNNNNNNNNNNNNNNNNNNNNNNNNNNNNNNNNNNNNNNNNNNNNNNNNNNNNNNNNNNNNNNNNNNNNNNNNNNNNNNNNNNNNNNNNNNNNNNNNNNNNNNNNNNNNNNAUUUGUAACCUCCAAAGUAACAUUAUUAACUUACUUUAUGUACUUUGAAAGAUGAUCUCAUUUCUGAGCUUACAUCAAUUGACUUACGAUAUACUUUUACGUACGAAAAUAUGGGGUGUAACACGGUUCACACGAGCAAUUGUACACUGAGUCUACCUCCAGAGAUAAGGUGAAGUUUUUCAGGCCAAGUAACCCAGAUUUGAUGGUGACAACUUGAAUUUCUUCACUGAAGAUUCAACUAUAACUGGACUAUUAUCCUUUUGUAACUAAUGCAUAAUCAUCGAUAUGCUUCAUUAAAGUAAUAAGAUUGCUUUGUCUAGCAAGAUAAAUGCAGAAUCUUUAACGAAUGCCUCACCAUCAGAGCCUGAGAUGAAUUUAAAUGGAAAAACAUGGGCAGCAAGGAUUCAUAUAAUUAACCUUAAUUUGCUUGGAAUUGAGAUGUUCGUCGUAAGUCUCGCUGUCGGAGUGACAAUACAACAACAAUAACAAUAACCCAGUAAAAUUCUCACAAGUGUGAUCUGGGAGGGUAGUGUGUACGCAGACUUACCUAUAACCCGAGAGAGUAGGAAGGAUGUUUUCGAUAAACCCUCGACUCAAGAAGACAAAAAGAGACAAUAGAUCAGUACCAACAACAAAAACCAGAAAAACCAGAAGAAUAAUAACAGCAUCGUAAGAGCCAAAAAAUAGAUGGAAAAAUAAUAACAAUAACCAGUAAAUAUGGACCGAUACUAUGAAGAAUAGUGUGAACAUAUUAUUAACCACUAACAAUUUAGGACAAAACACUAUCAGACAAGCCUUACACCCGGUACGAAGCAUAAGACAAUCUUCUGAAAAUUUACCCUUAGCAGCUAAAUUUUGGUUGAACAAUCUUGUCAUGCAUUAAUAUUGCAAAAUCAUACCUCAUAACCAACAAAUUGAUAUAUAAUCUAUGUUAUGUCGCAUUACAUUAUCAACAGCUGUACCAAUAUUUUCUGGAUUGUGACCAAUGAAGUUGCAAAUUGAAACUAAAUUAGCCCUCUUGUCCCACCAUUCCUAUCAAUUAUGAUUGAUGAUUAUCCUCCUGUAACUUCUUAGACAUUGAGUACAUAUUCCAACUAAAAAGAUUCUAGUUGGGGAUUGUACAUUUGUACCCCAGCACAAAUCACAAUUGAAAAACUAAAUGGGAUGACAACUUCAAAAAACUUACCUCACUUUUCCCCAUCUAUUUUCCUUCCAUCAUAAGCAAACCAGCAGCUGCUAUAACAUCAUCAAAAACUUAUUAUUAUCCACUUCUUCACCUUAAAUGUAACCUUUCACCAAAUCCCACUAUUGAAGGGAGCAUUGGAGCAACGGUAAAAUUGUCCCCGUGUGACCUAUAUGUCACGGGUUCGAGCCGCGGAAUCAGUCACUGAUGUUUGCAUCAGAAAAUGCUGCUUACAUCAGACCUCCUUGGGUGCUCCCCUUCCUUGGACCCUGCGUAAACACGGAAUGCUUCGUGCACCGGGUUGCCUUUUUGCCCAAAUACCCCCACUAACUUUUUUCUAUCCUUUUCCCUUUUGUAGUUUUCUUAAUUGUUUUAGAGCAAGGAAUCUACACCCUCAUUAUUUAAGUGGUACAAUCUUCUUUUGCCACCACCAGAGCAACUUCAACUUAAGCUUAACCAAAAAAAGCAAAAUGAAACAUAACUUAGUGUCAACCUUUCUCUUCUUGUUGCUCCAAUGCAUUGGCAUUUUGGCUCAAGGUCCAACUCCAGCUCCAAUUCCACCACCUACUCGAGCUUCAGCUCCUGCUCCGGGACCACCUGGACCUACUAAUGUAACAAAGAUCCUAGAAAAAGCAGGCCAAUGUUCGACGUUUAUUCGAUUGUUACAAACCACUCAAGAAAUCAGCCAAAUAACAUCAUUACUAAACAACUCCAACAGUAUCACCAUCUUUGUGCCACCAGAUAAUGCAUUUUUGAACAUGAAAGCAGGAACUUUGAAUUCAUUUAACGAUCAGCAGAAAGCAGAACUGAUCAAAUUCCACAUUCUGCCUCAAUACUUCUCCAUUUCUCAGUUCCAAACUGCUAGCAAUCCUGUUCAGACACAAGCCGGUGGAACCAGUAACCGCGAAUUCCCUAUCAACAUAACAACAAAUGGCACUUCAGUGAACAUAACUACUGGAAUUGUCAAUGCAAGUAUCUCUAAUACAGUUUACACUGAUAGCCAGUUAGCUAUUUAUCAAGUGGACAAAGUUCUUCUUCCAUUGCAAUUCUUUGUCCCUCCAGCACCUGCUCCUGCACCACCUAAGCCGAAAAAGAAAGAUGAUUCGUUGGAUUCUGACUCUACUUCUGCUGUAUCUUCUGGUGCAAUCUCUCUGGUUCCAGCAAUAUUUUGGGCAAUCAACUCCAACGGCGGAUUUCUCUUCAUCUUGGCUGUGUUUUCGUUUGUAUAUGUGAGCUCAUAAUUAAGUUGGAGUUGAUAUUAUUGUGCAUGCAUGCAUUGUUGUGAUUUCAUUUAAUUGUAAUUUUGGUUUAUGCCGUGUAAAUUUCAUUUGGUUUUACUACCUGGUUACCUAUACUUGCUGUUAAAUAUAUAUAUAUAUAUAUAUAUAUAAAGCAUGAAUAUAAUGUUGCUUUACAAAAAUAACAUCUAACACAAUAAAAUGAUAUAAACUUAAUUCUAGACAUUAGCCUUGUAAUCCUAUUAGUUUUAGAACAUAAUACACGUUAGGAAUCCUACAUGAUUACCUUUAGGAAUCUUAUUAGUAUAAUUACUUUUGGUAUAGACAUAUAAUACUACAUGUUAGUAUGUAAACCUAAUACCUUUAGGAACACGUUACGUUUCUUAUUAGUAUAAUUACUUUCAGGAUAGAGACAUAUUUUUAGCCAUGUAAUUCUAUUACUUUUAGAAUAUACUUCUUAAAAAAUUCUUAUUACUAAUUUAAUUUGAAAGCAUAUUGAAUUGUCCUAUUACUAAUUUAAUUUGAGAAUGUAUUAUAUUGCCCAAAUCCAUUUAGAAAAAGAAGAGUCUAUAUUAUUAAAAAAAUAUGAAUACAAUAUUGAUAGACCAAAAUAGCCCUAAAAUAUUAAACAGAAGAACUCAUAGGGAAAGAACAUAACUGUAUUAACCUAUUUUUUUGGACUACAAUAACUUUUAUGUUAAUUUUUUUAUAUUUAAUAUUUUAAAAUUAAUAAAAUAUCGUCUAUUGAAUUCUUAUUAAAAAUAUGUAGGAAUGUUUAAUAAAAUCAAUUUCAUAAGAAUCCUUUGUAUUUGUAAUACAUUAUCACUCCAUAAUAUUCAAUACUAAGAAAAAAUAAAAGUAAUGUUAAAUGGACUGCAUAAAGCGUUAAAAUUGAGAAAAAAAUCCCCACGAUAAUAUAUUUUUAUAUUAUAUUUGAACUGCUUUUCUACUCAAAUAAUAUUUUUUAUUAUUAAUUUUUCGUAUAUUAUUGAAAAUUAUACCAAAUUAUUAAAGAAUAACUAAGAAUGUUUUUAAGAAUAUAACUGUGUGAGAAAGAGAAAGAAAAAGGUUGGUUAGAGUCAAUACCACUAAUGAUUUUGUAAAUAUAAAGAUCUAAAAGUAGAAUGUUAUAUCGAUCUUUCUACUCAUUAAAAAUAAUAUUUAUAGUGGAUAAAAUUAUAAUUAUGAUUAAAUAUUCAAAACAAGAGAUGAACUAAUAUUAAGAAUCUGAAUCAACAGAAUAUAAAUAAUUUUUUUAGGUUAAGACCAAAUAAUCAAAUCUUUCAAUUAAUAUUUUAGCAAGGGAAUUCAAUUUAAUUAUUUUUUAAAUUCAUCAUAUGAGUAAAAUUACUUUUCAAGUUAAAAAAAAUCUUAGGGUACAAAAUUUAUUCCAUAAAAAAGGUUUGAGAUUUAAAAAAAUAUAGAUCAGAAAGUAAAAAUGAUUAAUUUGGUAUUAAGAAGGUGAUACAAGUGUUUGAGGAAGUACAAUCAAAGCUAAUCCUAAACAAGAACAAGCUUUCAAGACUAUAUUAUAAAGAGUUGACUCUGGUAUAGCGGGAUUAUCCUUUGUAGAUGCCUCCGCCGGAAUCGAAAUAAUAUUCCGAUGUCACGCAUUACUUGCAAAUGUCAGAUCUAGAGGCAUGAUAAUCUUAGCAAUAAUAAAAAGUGGUGUACCAUCAAUGAUUUUAUUAUGAGGUCGUACAACUCACUUUAGAUUUGUAUACCUCUUCAAACAACUGAAAUAAUCAUCACAAAUAUAUCAAAGCAAAGCAAUAGUGCUAAAUUUAUAAGGAAAGCCAAAUUGAUAAUAUGGGAUGAAGUGCUUAUUGCUAAGCGUCAAAAGAUUGAAACAAUUGUCUAGAGUUGUAGAGAUAUAUUGGAUAUCAAUGAAUCGUUUGGUAGAAAAGUAAUAGUUUAGGAGAUGAUUUCUGUCAAGUACUAUCAGUAAUUCCACAAUCAACGAAAGUAGAAACUGUAAAAGCUAGCUUGCCAAAAUUGCACUUAUGGCCUCAAAUGAACAAGUUUCAAAUGACAAAAAAUAUAAAAGUAAGAGCAGAUCCAACAUUUAAGUGACUUCUUGCUUCCAGUCGGAAACGAAGAAGAGUAUCCAAUAAAAGAUGAUUUGGUUCUUCCAGAACACUUAGCUAUCAACCUCAAGGAUAAUAUUAGUGCAUUUAAUAAGAAAAACAUUUUCAUCAUUAGAUUAAAACGCAAAUUGUGCAAAUUAUAUGAUAGAAAUUAAAGAGUUAUCUUGGCUAGCAAAAAUGAAUAUAUUGAUCAACCAAAUAAAAGGUUAAUUGCUAAGUUUUAUGAUAAAAAUAAAAUAUUUUUUAGUUUUGACUCAGCAGAAGAUGAUACCGGCAAUUACUACCAAGAAGAAUAACUAAAUACUUUAAUAUCAAAUGGCCUUUUACCAUCCGGGGCAUUCUACCAUCCAAGUUUGUUGUCAAGUUUAUUAUUUCUUAUGUAUGUUAGUGUCACCAUAUAUAUAAUAGACUAAGUUAAAUUGAUCUUCCAUUGCAUAUAGGUUGAUAUUGAAGAAAAAUAUGCCUGUCAUGCUACUGUAAAACUUAGAUCCAUCGAAUAGCUUAUGUAAUAGUACACAGAUAGUAUAUAGAAGUUUUGACAGUAAUGUUAUACAUGCAGAAAUUAUGAUACUGGUCAAUAUGCUUCUAAGUAUGUGUUUAUCCCCGAAAUCAACUUUCGUCUUCCGAAACUAAAGAAUAUCCUUUUAAAUUUGUUUUAAAAAAAAUUUCAGUAUGUUUACAAUAAUAUAUUUUUUUGCACGAAUAAUUAUAUGUUACACUUUCAAGAGGGAUAUUAAUAUCGACAAUAAGAGUUCUGGUUAUGGCAGAAGAACCAAAGCAUUAGAAGGAAACAAAUACAAAAACAUAUCGUCUACAAAAAAGUAUUCAGUAAGAUACCAUCGCAUUAGAUACCUUUAAACUACAAUACAUAAUUAUCUGAUUAACAUGCCUAAAUUGAUCAUUUGUGUAAGUUGUGAUUAUGCCCUUUCAUUUUAAAUUUGCGUAUUAUGCUCAUGUAAUAAUAUUUUUCGGNNNNNNNNNNNNNNNNNNNNNNNNNCCUAUCCCCUGUGUGCCUUGCCUCCCACGACUAUAUAUGAAGUGGGGUUUGUCUCGUAUAAGAAGGUAGAGAUGAAUUUGAAGACUUUGUAUAUUAGAAGACUUAGUUUUUCAAAUUUAUUUAAAAUUUUAAUUUUAAUUUAGAUGUAAAAAAAUAAAUAAAAAAUAAAAAAGCCCGGUGCACAAAACAUUUCGCGUUCACGCUGGGUCGAAGAACUGCAUCCCUAAAGGUGUGAUGUAGACAUCCUACCCUAGUGCAAGCUUGUCUAUUCAUGAAAUUAGAUUUCUGCGAACCCUGCAGCAUAAAGUGAUAAAAUGGACGACAAAGUCCUCAAUAGUUUAUAUCCCGUUAUUAUGGAGGUCAUCAUCCUAUAAGCCUACAACUUUCUGUUGCACUAUAUAGCAAUUACUCAGGUCACCAUUACUCCAUGAGCACUGACCAGUUCUUUUUGCAGAUAAAUUUUGGACAACAAUUUACCUUCUCGGCAUCCAGCUUUUUUUACAGACAAAUUUUGGUUGGUAAACCUGUCUCCCUCCUUGAGGCUAUGAAAAGGAGUUAAGUUCUAUGCACUGAUGUUUUAAAAAUUGUUUACACAAUCAUGUCACUUAUAAGCUAAUUACAAGUAAAAUCUCUAUCGACCAUAUAGGGAAUUGGAGGUGGCACUCUACCAAUGUCAAGUCAUAGACUGGUUUCUUCUGCCCUUUUCUAUGUGUUGGUGUUCUAUAUGACUGCAUAAGACUCGACUUGUUAGAUAUUACGGAGGUUCAGUGAGCACCAUGCCGAAUCUCUUUACCAUUUUCUUCUCUUCCACUUUGGCCAAUAUGAGUUUACCUGGUACUAGCAGCUUUAUCUGGGGAAUUUCUUAGUAGGAGCUUUCCAAGGAAAUAGGAGUCUACCUGUUUGAUGAACUAAACAGCAACUUAGGAGUCUUUUUUAAUUUGAUCCAUCCAAAACUUCUCUUCCUAAAGGCAAUUUCAAGCCUUUAACAGUGCUCCAAGUUUUGUGGAGUUAAUGGAACAGCUCCAGUUAGGUAUAAAAUAUUGUGAACCAACUUGCUUGGUUAUCCCUGAUUAUAAACAGUCCGUGCACAUGUGACCAUUGGCUCAAACUCGGACUAUAAAUAUGUAUAUGUUAAAUGAAAUAAAGUUUCUGAUUAAGAAGCUUAUGACCAUUAUUUCAAAUGUUCAAUGAAAUAAAGUUUCAAGCAAUUGGACCUGCUCCUUGUUAAUUUAGGUGCGAGAUCACCCCCUUAGUUUGUGCCUCUAAAAACAUCAUCCCACAUAAGGACUCUGGACAGGAAUGAGGGAAGAAAAAUUAUCCUCAUUUAACUGGAGAAAGGUAGAGGGGCGGGCCCAUAAUCCCCAAGUUUCGAGGGCUGCGCUUGAUUCUAAGGAUUGGCCCCAUAUGGAUAUCUCGAUCAUAAAAAAAAUAUCCUCAUUUAAGAAGUGUAGUAGCUAAUCACACCAUCAAAGGCAUCUGAAAAUCUUUCCAAAAUUACAACUGCUAGAUUUUGGUUAUACUGUUUGUCACUCAUUUACAUUGCAAAAACAUACCUAAUAACCAAUAUAGUUGUUUGCUAGAUUACAAGUAGUUAUCUUACGUUGAUCUCAUCAGUUGUACCAAGAGUUUGUCGAUUGUGACAGUUGAAAUUACAUCUUAAUUAACCCUCCUGUCCCAUUAUAACCAUAAAUAAUGAUUUAUGAUUGUUCUCCUCCAUAGAUAAAAGAUUUUAUUUCCUCAACAAACAACAACAAACUCAAUGUAAUCCCACAAGUGGAAUCUGGAGAGGGCAGUGAGUACGCAGCUUUAUCCCUAGCUUGUGCUGGUAGAGAGUCUGUUUCCAAUAUAGAUUUUCCUCAACAUCUGGCACAAAACAAAAAACUGAAUAGUAUCCACAUAAAACACAAACUUACUGUAGACAUUAAAAUUUACACUUAACUCUACUAUUCCCAGCUGUUUUUCCUCCCAUCAUAAGCAAACUAACAGCUGCUCUGAGUUUAUCAAAUACCUAUGAUGUUCUUUCCCACCUUAAAUUGCACUCUUUCACCUAACUUUACACUCAAUUUCCUUCCACCUCAAUACCCCACAAAUCCUUUCUUUCAUUGUUUUCAAAUCAAGAAAUCCACCCUUUCAAAUAUAUAAAGUGCCACAUUCUACAAUUCUCCCUCCACACUACACCUAGCAAAAUAAACACAAUUUACUACAAAAAGAAAAAUGAAAACCAUGUUAUUGUUAUUGUUCUUUUUGUUCUUUCAAUGCAUUGGCAUUUUUGCUCAGGCUCCGGCUCCAGCUCCAGGUCCACCACCUCCAUUAAACGUGACAAAGAUCCUCGACAAAGCAGGCCAAUGUUCAACGUUUAUCCGUCUACUACAGAACACACAGCAACUCAACGAAAUCACUUCACAACUCAACAAUUCCAACAAUGGGAUUACAAUGUUUGUGCCAACAGACAAUGCAUUCUUGAGUAUGAAAGCAGGAACUUUAAAUUCUUUUACGGAUCAACAAAAAGCUGAACUUAUCCAAUUCCAUAUUCUUCCUACAUAUUAUUCUUUAACUCAAUUCCAAACUGCAAGCAAUCCUUUAAGAACACAAGCUGGUGGAACCAGCAACCGCGAAUUUCCAAUAAAUAUUACAACAACAGGAAGUUCAGUUAACAUAACAACUGGGAUUGUUAAUGCAAGUGUGUCAAGUACUAUAUAUACUGAUAACCAAUUAGCUAUUUAUCAAGUGGAUCAGGUUCUUCUUCCAUUGAAAUUCUUUGUACCUCCAGCACCACCUCCUGCUCCUACGCCUAUUAAGCCGAAAAAGAAAGCCGGGUCCGCGGAUUCUUCUUCUGAACCGGCUGUUUCCUCUGGUACUUCUCUGGUUCCAAACAUGAUCUACAAAACCGGGCUUUUGUUCUUCUUUUCUGCUGUGUUUUCUUGGAGUCUAUGAGAUUAUGAGUGUGAUAUUAGUGUAUGUGUGCAUGUAUGCUUGUGAUUCUUUACCUACAUUUCAUUGAAUUUUGAAUGUUAAGUGGUUUUGUUAUUUUUUUCAAGAAUUGAUCUUGGUUACUAUUAGUUGGUAUGUAUUUGGUUUCAAGAAUCAAGAGGCAAAGAGAAGUGAAGUAUUUAGAGCCCGUUACAUAAAAAAAAAAUCACUUUUUUCCGAAAAAUUGUCACUUUUUUCCAAAUCAUUGUUUGGCCAUAAAAUUUCCAAUUUUCACUUGAAAAUGAAUUUUGAAAUUUUUUGAAAUUUUGAAAAACUCCAAAAAUCUGUUUUUUAAAAUUUCCACUCAAAUCACUCACAAACUUUAAAAACAACCCAAAAUAAUAUUCAUGUUCAAACACAACUCUAAUUUUCAAAUACCAUUUUCACAUGAAAUUUUUUUCACUUUUUUUUUGGAAUUUUACAAUUUUUAUGUCCAAACGCCCACUUAGUGUAGUGAACAAGUUUUAGUAGUAAAUUACUAAAUAUAAAGGUGUAUAUUUGUAAUAAAUUCUAAAGUAGCAUCAAUAAAAUUUGAGAACAUUUGGCGUUGACUAGUAACUAGGGGCGUUCAAAACCGAAUCGAAACUGUUAACCGAACCGUACCGAAGGUUUAUUGGCUUAUUGGUAUCAGAUUAUUGGGGUAAUGGAUGGUGAAUGGAUUGAGAUUUUAUAAUUAACGGCUUAACGGUUUGGGGGCGGAUUACUCAAUUUUCUUAUCGGAUAAACCGUUAACCCGUUAAGAAUUUUUAUAUUUAUAUUUUUACCCUUAUGUAUAUAAAGUAUUAUUAAAACCUAAAUGGCUAAAUCCUUUCUAAUUCUCAAUAGAACUGUCGUCUACCUGUAGCUAAUGGCAUUGGCAGUCGUCUUUGGCUUCUAAUCAGGAAAAGCUACUAUAACUAACAGAGACAGUUUGAACUAUGCAUUUGGUUGUUUGGUAUUGAUUGUUUAAAGAAAUUCUAUUCGGUUUAGCCGAUAAACCGCCCGAUAACCGCCUGAUAAUUGUCAAUCUGAUACCAAUCCGCCCGUUGUCUUAUUGGAUGGUUAGUGGAUUACUAUAUUUAUAAUCUGAUAACCGAUAAGUCGAACCGUUAAGCGUAAUUAUCCGUCUGAUAAGCACCCCUACUAGUAACUCAUUAGGUUUAUUGUUUAUUUCUACUAUUUUUUUAUUUUCUUGAGUCGAGAGUCUAUUGAAAAUAACAUUUUUAUCUUAUUAGGGUAAAAAUAAGUUCUACGUACACAGUACUCUCUCAAAAUCUCAUUUGCGGGAUUCCACUAUAUGAUUGGUGUUGUUGUUGUUAUUAACAACUCAUUAGUUGCAGCCUACAUUUCUACUUAAGAUGAUAAACUUACGAGUGGGUGAACCCCAUUUGAUUUUUGAAAGUUAGGAAUUUUCUUGUUUAUGUGAUUGGAUUGGAUUGGAUGUAACUUCUAUUGAUCAAUCAAUUAGCUAUGCCUCAAAUCCAAAUUUGUUGAAGUUAACUAUUUUGAAUCAUCUAUAUUCAUUCCACUUUAUUUAGUUUCAAUACUAUUUAUGCGAAGGUUGUGGUUAGAUAGAUAAGUUCCUUUUAUUCUUAAUUAGAGAUCUCGAGUUUUCGAGCCGUAGAAUGAAAAAAAAUUCAGGUAAAGAACAUUUCUUUUUUUAAUGGGCCUUACACGACAUGAAUUCGAAUUACUUGGACCACCGGAUGAAAAAAUCCAAAAAAAAAAGACUGAAUGUUAAUAUUUUCUAGAAUUAGUCUAACAUUAUUUAAUGGCACUCAUGCUUCAAGAAGGUUGAAUGGUGCACUUGGCUGAAUAGUGAAUUAUUUAUUCAAAAGAAUAUGGAUUAAUUCUCACUUAAUACCUUUUUUUUCUCCUUUCUUUAAUGGUGCACCCAUAUUCUAAAAAUUCUAGAUCCACUCCUGCUAAUAUUUAUGCAAGUAUUGCAGAAAUAAAUCCAAAACUUUGAUAUUUAAUUAGUCUUUACUAGGAUGUUGAAACACAACCACAAAGGAAAAGGCGAUUGUGAAUUUGGCUCCUAUAAGGUGAAACACCAAUCAUGAGACAAAGAAAAUCAACCUCUAUUGAUAUUUAAGGAAAAGAUAAUUUCAGCUUCCACUUGUAGUUGUCCACUCCAUUUUUGUGAAAAAUAGAGAGGGUCAUCCUCACGUAUUUCUUAUCAUGUUUGUAGAAUCUAUUACUAUUAUUGUUUAUUUUGAAACCUCCGCCACAAAAUAUUAAAGUAACCACGUAUAUAGGCUUCCGAAAUAUUCCUUGCUUUUCCACUUCAUAUUAUUAUGUCUACUUCUACCUUUUUCUCAUUCUACUUUUUCUUCUUUUCAAAGUGAGAUACUUUUGUCAAGUACAUAAAACACAAAAUAGACGGGUUUAAUGGAACGACGUAAAAAUCAAAAUUCAUGUAGUCCGCCCCAACUUGCUUGGAAUUUAAAAGUAAUAGUAAUUAGCAAUAACAUAUUCGGUAUAAUUUCACAAAUGGGAUAUGAGGGGAUAGUGUGUAUACAAUCUUACUCCUAUCUUGUGCAGACAGAAAUGUACGGGGUUUAUCCCCAUAAAAAAACAAAAAGGAGAAAACAAAUGCCAAAACCAAUUUUGGCCAAAUUUGAUUUUGUUUCUCGAUUUGCAAAUUGCAAGUUGCAAGUUGCAGGAAACCAACUUUUUAUUGGUUAAGAGUUACGGCACUUCUUCCUAUAAAUAGAAGCCUUCAACUUCUCAUUUGAACACAAUCUCAGAGACAAACAUAUCUGAGAGUUAGAGAGCAGUGUGAGGUAUUCGCAGGCGGUGUAGUAUGUGAUGAAAAAUAAAGAGUGUGAGCGAUAUUGUAGUGAGGUGGGAAUCUCAAAAGAGAGUUAUUCUUUUGAGUGUGUAGUGGUCCCUGGGGUACUUUACUCGGGACUAUAAAAUAUAAAAUUCUUCAUUAUAGUGAAUUACUUUACUACUCUCAGGCCCGUGAUUUUUUUCCUUAUUCAGAAGUGUUUUCCACGUUAAAAUUUUUGUGUUUUUAUUGUUCUUUUUGUUGAUUAUUGUAUCUCGAUACUACGUUAUUAUUAUCGUAAAUAUUAUGUCUGUGGGGGUUUAUUCCCAACAACUGGUAUCAGAGCACAGGUUAUGCUCGUUCCCAGAAAUACUCUUCACGGCCGGUAGUACCAUACUCGGUGGAAAAAUAAAAUAUUCAGAGUAAAGUACGAAGUAGUAAAAUUCAACGGAGAUAGCGGUUUCUCAACAUGGCAAAGAAGGAUGAGGGAUCUGCUCAUCCAACAAGGAUUACACAAGGUACUAGAUAGUGAUGCCAAAAAGUCCGAUACUAUGAAAGCAGAGGAUUGAGCUAACUUGGAUGAAAAGGCUGCUAGUGCAAUCAGAUAGCACUUAUCAUAUGAUGUGGUAAAUAACAUCAUUGAUGAAGAUACUGCAUGUGGCAUUUGGAUAAGGUUGAAAAACCUAUACAUGUCCAAAACGCUGGCAAAUAAAUUUUACCGGAAGAAAGAGUUAUAUGCCCUACAUAUGGGUGAAGGUACAAUUUUUUUGUCACGUUUAAAUGUGUUUAAUGGAUUAAUCACGCAGCUUGCCAACCUCGGAGUAAAGAUCGAGGAAGAGGAUAAAACCAUCUUGUCUUAAACUCAUUGCCAUCUUCGUACCAUAAUUUGGCAACAACUAUCAUGCACGGUAAAAUCACUAUUGAGUUGAAGGACAUCACAUCGGCUUUUCUACCCAAUGAGAAGAUGAGAAAGAAGCCUGAAAAUCAACGACAUGAUAACAUCACAAAAGAUAGAGACAAGAGUUACCAAAGGAGUUCAAGUAACUAUGGUAGAUCCGGAGGUCGUAGGAAGUCCAAGAAUCGAUCCAAAUUAAAAGUCAGAAAUUGCUACAAUUGCGAUCAAUCGGGUCACUUCAAAAGAGAUUUUCCUAAUCUAAGAAAGGACAAAGGUGAAAGCAGUGGCUAUAAGAAUGACGACAACACAACCGCCAUGGUACAAAACAAUGAUAAUGUUGUUCUAUUUUUAAAUGAAGAAGAGGAAUGCAUGCACUUGAGAGGUCCAGAGUCAGAAUGGGUGGUUGACACAGCUGCAUCUUACCAUGCCACACCAGUAAGAGAAGUUUUUUGUAGAUAUGUAGCAGGUGAUUUUGGCACUGUGCGAAUAGGUAACACGAGUUACUCAAAGAUUGCGGGGAUCGGUGGCAUUUGUAUUAAGACAAAUGUCGGAUGCACAUUAGUUCUAAAGGAUGUACGUCAUGUACUUGAUUUGCAGAUGAACUUAAUCUCAGGAAUAACUUUGGACCGAGAUGGAUACGAGAACUAUUUUGCAAAUCAAAAGUGAAGACUCACCAAGGGAUCAUUGGUAGUUGCAAAGGGAGUUGCUUAUGGCACGUUAUACAGGACAAAUGCAGAAAUAUGUCGAGGUGAAUUGAACGCGGCACAAGAUGAGAUUUCUGCAAAUUUGUGCCACAAAGGAAUGGGUCAUAUGAGCGAGAAGGGAUUGCAGAUUCUUUUCAGGAAAUCACUCAUCUCUUAUGCCAAAGGUACAACGGUAAAACCUUGUGACGACUGUUUAUUUAGUAAGCAACAUAGAGUCUCAUUUCAGACAUUGUCUGAAAGAAAAUUAAAUAUACUUGAUUUGGUAUAUUAUGAUAUUUGUGGUCCAAUGGAAAUUGAAUCGAUGGAAGGUAACAAAUUUUUGUUACUUUUAUUGAUGAUACUUCACGAAAAUUAUGGUUUAUAUUUUGAAAAUCAAAGAUCAGGUGUUUCAAGUUUUUCAGAAGUUACAUGCUCUGGUGGUAAGGGAGACAUUUCAUGCUCUGGUGGUAAGGGAGACAUGCCAAAAGCUAAAGCGUCUUCGAAGUGACAAUGCAGGUGAGUACACUUCAAGGAAAUUUGAAGAGUAAUGUUCGAGCCAUGGGAUCAGACAUAAAAAGACAGCUCCUGGAACCCCACAACACAAUAGUGUAGAUGAGAUGAUGAAUCGUACCAUUGUUGAGAAGGUGAGAAGUAUGCUCAGAAUGGCUAAGCUGCCUAAGUCAUUUUGGGGUGAAGCAGUUCAGACAGUCUGUUACCUGAUCAAUAGGAGUCCAUCAGUUUCAUUAGAGUUUGACAUCCCAGAGAGAGUUUGGACCAACAAGGAGGUUUCCUACUCACAUAUGAAGGUAUUCGAUUGCAGAGCCUUUUCACAUAUACCAGAGGAGUAGAGAACAAAGCUGGAUGAUAAAUCCGUUCCCUGCAUUUUCAUCGGAUAUGGAUAUGAAGAGUUCGGGUAUAGAUUGUGGGAUCCUGUAAAGAAGAAGAUUAUCAGAAGCAGAGAUGUAAUCUUCCGAGAAAGUAAAGUUAGAGAUGUAGAUGAUCUAUCAGAGAAGGCCAAGAAUGGUAUAAUCUCUAACUUUGUUACCAUUCCUUCUACUUCUAACAAUCCCACAAGUGCAGAAAGUAGGACCGACAAGGUUGCCGAGUAGGAUGAGCAACAUGGUGAGGUCAUUGAGUAGGGGAAGCAAUUGAUGAUGAUGCCGAGCAAGUGGAGUACCCCACUUAGAAAGAAGAACAACCUCAACCUCUGAGGAGAUCAGAGAGGCCAAGGGUAGAGUCAUGCAGGUACCCUACCACAGAGUAUGUCCUCAUCAGUGAUGAGGGGGACACAAAAAGUCUUAAGGAGGUAUUGUCCCAUCUAGAAAAGAACCAGUAGAUGAAAGCCAUGUAAGAAGAGAUGGAAUCUCUACAGAAAAAUGGCACGUACAAGCUGGUUGAACUUCCAAAGGGUAAAAGACCACUCAAAUAUAAAUGGAUCUUUAAACUCAAGAAAGAUGGAAAUGGCAAGCUAGUAAGAUGCAAAGCUCGAUUGAUGGUAAAAGGCUUCGAACAUAAGAAAGAUAUUGAUUUUGACGAAAUUUUCUCACCUGUUGUCAAAAUGACUUCUAUUCGAACAAUUUUGAGCUUAGCAUCUAUGAAGUGGAGCAGUUGGACGUGAAAACUGCAUUUCUUCAUGGAGAUUUAGAAUAAGAGAUUUAUAUGGAGCAGCCAGAAGGAUUUAAUAUAGCUGAUGUGCAAAUUGAAUAAGAGUCUUUAUGGGUUAAAGCAGUCACCAAUAAGACAAUGGGCGAAUUGGUAUCAGAUUAACAAUUAUCGGGCAGCUUAUCGGCUAAACCAAAUAGAAAUUUUUUGAACAAUCAUUUAAUCAAUACCAAACAGUUUCAAAUCAAUAUCAAAUUUUUAAUACCAUCUAUGUCUAACCAAAUAAUAUUUUUUAAUUAAAGGGUAUUCAAGACUAUUCAUACUGUCAUACACGUAUUCACCAAAUUUUUAAUACCAUCAAGACUACUCAUACAGACAUACACGUAUUAAUCAUUGAGAUUUUGAUUUUUCGACUUCUCAGUUCUCAGUUCAAGAGAGAGACGAGACUGUCGACUUCUUUGCCUCUAGUGGCUACAGACAAUUGAAAAUUAAAAAUCAAAAAUUAGGGAUUUAGCCAUUUAGGGUUUCAAUAAUACUUUAUGUACAUAGGGGUAAAAGUAUAAAUAUAAAAAAUCUUAACGGGUUAACGGUUUACCCGAUAAUAAAAUUGAGUAAUCCGCCCCCAAACCAUUAAGCCGUUAAUUAUAAAAUCUCAAUCCGUUCACUAUUCAUUACCCCGAUAAUCCGAUACCAAUAAGCCAAUAAGCCAUCGCUUUGGUUCGGAUAAUGGUUUCAGUUCGGUUUUAAACAAUCCUAUACCCAGGUACCUGAGAGGUACCACAGGAGAUUAUUUUUGUCUUGGAGGAUUUGAUCCAGUCUUGAAGGACUAUAGAGAUGCAGAUAUGGCAGGUGACAUUGAUAACAGAAAAUUCACUACUGGAUAUUUAUUUACAUUUUCAGGGGGAGCUAUAUCAUGGCAGUCGAGGUUGUAGAAGUGUGUCGCACUCUCUACAACUGUCUAUAACUGAAGCGGAGUACAUUGCCGCUACUGAAGCUGGCAAGGAGAUGAUAUGGCUGAAAUAGUUCCUUCAAGAGCUUGGCUUGCAUCAGAAGGAGUAUAUUGUCUAUUGUGACAGUCAAAGUGCAAUAGACUUGACCAAGAACUCCAUGUACUAUGCAAGGACCAAACACAUCGAUGUGAGAUAUCACUCGAUUCGAAAAAAAGGUAGAGAGUGAAUCUCUGAAAGUCUUAAGAAUUUCCACAAGUGAGAAUCUUGCAGAUAUGCUGACCAAGGUAGUACCGAGAGACACGUUCAAGCUAGCAACCUCGAUGUUAUCUCCUUCCGGUGAACGGGUCUGGAGGGGGAGAUUGUGGGUCCAUCCCCAUCAAGAAAACAAAAAGGAGGAAACAUAUGCCAAAACAAUUUUGGCCAAAAUUGAUUUUGGUUCUCAAUUUGCAAAUUGCAAGUUGCAAGUUGUAGGAAACCAACUUCUUAUUGGUUAAGAGUUACGGCACUUCUUCCUAUAAAUAAAAACUUUCAGCUUCUCAUUUGAACACACAAUCUCAGAGAGAAACAUAUCCAAGAGUUAUAGAGCAGUUUGACGUAUUCACAGGCGGUGUAGUCUGUGAGAGAAGAUAGAGAGUGUGAACGAUAUUGUAUAUUAAGGUGAGAAUCUCAAAAGAGGGUUAUUCUUUGAGUGUGUAGUGGUCCAUGGAGUACUUUACUUGGGACUACGGAAUAUAAAAUUUUUUAUUAUAGUGAAUUACUUUGCUCCUCUCGGGCCUGUAAUUUUUUCCCUUAUUCAGAAGGAUUUUUCACGUUAAAAUCUUUGUGUUCUUAUUGUUCUUUUUGUUGAUUACCGUAUCUUGAUACUACAUUAUUAUUCUGUUGUUAUAAUCGUGAAUAUUAUUUCUGUGGGGGUUUAUUCCCAAUAAGAGGUUGUUUCCGAUAGACUCGGUUAAAAGCAAGCAUGCAUAACCAUUCAGAACAGAACAAAGAAAGAAACGCAGUAGCGAAAAAAUCAAAGAAUAGUAAUUGUUUUAUACAUGGAAUAAAAAAUUGCACAUGGCUUAAUUUUUCAAUAAUCAUAUUGGCUAUACUCUUCAUAUCAUAUCAAUUAUUAUUAAAGUUUGCUGGAAUUUGACUUUAUUAUAUAUCCUCUUGGAUAAUGUAAGAAUACAUAAACANNNNNNNNNNNNNNNNNNNNNNNNNNNNNNNNNNNNNNNNNNNNNNNNNNNNNNNNNNNNNNNNNNNNNNNNNNNNNNNNNNNNNNNNNNNNNNNNNNNNNNNNNNNNNNNNNNNNNNNNNNNNNNNNNNNNNNNNNNNNNNNNNNNNNNNNNNNNNNNNNNNNNNNNNNNNNNNNNNNNNNNNNNNNNNNNNNNNNNNNNNNNNNNNNNNNNNNNNNNNNNNNNNNNNNNNNNNNNNNNNNNNNNNNNNNNNNNNNNNNNNNNNNNNNNNNNNNNNNNNNNNNNNNNNNNNNNNNNNNNNNNNNNNNNNNNNNNNNNNNNNNNNNNNNNNNNNNNNNNNNNNNNNNNNNNNNNNNNNNNNNNNNNNNNNNNNNNNNNNNNNNNNNNNNNNNNNNNNNNNNNNNNNNNNNNNNNNNNNNNNNNNNNNNNNNNNNNNNNNNNNNNNNNNNNNNNNNNNNNNNNNNNNNNNNNNNNNNNNNNNNNNNNNNNNNNNNNNNNNNNNNNNNNNNNNNNNNNNNNNNNNNNNNNNNNNNNNNNNNNNNNNNNNNNNNNNNNNNNNNNNNNNNNNNNNNNNNNNNNNNNNNNNNNNNNNNNNNNNNNNNNNNNNNNNNNNNNNNNNNNNNNNNNNNNNNNNNNNNNNNNNNNNNNNNNNNNNNNNNNNNNNNNNNNNNNNNNNNNNNNNNNNNNNNNNNNNNNNNNNNNNNNNNNNNNNNNNNNNNNNNNNNNNNNNNNNNNNNNNNNNNNNNNNNNNNNNNNNNNNNNNNNNNNNNNNNNNNNNNNNNNNNNNNNNNNNNNNNNNNNNNNNNNNNNNNNNNNNNNNNNNNNNNNNNNNNNNNNNNNNNNNNNNNNNNNNNNNNNNNNNNNNNNNNNNNNNNNNNNNNNNNNNNNNNNNNNNNNNNNNNNNNNNNNNNNNNNNNNNNNNNNNNNNNNNNNNNNNNNNNNNNNNNNNNNNNNNNNNNNNNNNNNNNNNNNNNNNNNNNNNNNNNNNNNNNNNNNNNNNNNNNNNNNNNNNNNNNNNNNNNNNNNNNNNNNNNNNNNNNNNNNNNNNNNNNNNNNNNNNNNNNNNNNNNNNNNNNNNNNNNNNNNNNNNNNNNNNUCAGUCACUUAUCAGGGUAGGCUGUCUAUAUCGCACCCCUUGGGAUACAGCUCUUCCCGAAUACUUCGUGCACCGAGCUGUCCUUUUUACGGACCAGUAUUUUGUUUCAACCAAUUUGUGGACUAAAGCUCAACCUAGUUCACACUUUACUCUUUUCUUUUCCCUUUUCUUGGGUUAAAAAGUGUUUACUCAAGUAAUGAAGACUAGACAUGGAUUGCUAUGAGAUAACAAAGUCACUGAUUAAAGCAUGUAAGAGCAUCUCUUUUUGGUCUAGUAAGUUGUUUGUCAAAUAUUGUGAAUAUCGUUAUUCGUUUGUUAAGGGGAGCAAGAGAAAGAUGAGUAUAAAGGCUAUAUAACAUAUUUGUUACAAAGUACUCUACCUUCUAGCAUUUAGGUGUAGGCUUAAAAUCUCAUUACAUACCUUCCUUUUUUCGAAUAAACUUAGAGAUUUUGCCAACCUUUUAACAUUUGGAUCCUGACCAGCCUGAUCCUGUGACCUGUCCGGUCAAGUUAACAUGCAUAUGGUAUUCUCUUAAUUAAAAAAAGGAAAAAGAAGAAAAAGAAAGGGAUAAGGGAUAAGGCAUUUGCACAUAUAGCCUUUUUAGCCACUAGUCAAAUUCUGACCCCGUUAGUUCAAUGGAGGUUUUUUUUUUUUUUUUUUUAAUCGGUUUGCUCAACAGAGUUUAUUUGCAAAAAGAAAAUACAUGUCACGACCCAAAAUCCUAACCUGUCGUGAUGGCGCCUAUCUCAAUAUUAGGCAAGCCGACAACACCGAUAACCCACAAAUUCUUGUAAAUACGGAAAACAUAAUAAUUAAGUUUAAAAGAAAAUCCUACAAAUACUGGAUAUAAAUACACUCCCAAAACCCGGUGUCACUGAGUACAUGAGCAUCUAUACAUCACAAGUCUGAAAAAUAUAGUCUAUAAUAGUCUGAGACCAAAUACAGUAAACAAAGAGAUAAGAAAGGAGAGACAAAGUCUGUGAAACACGGCAGCUACUUUGGAAUCUCCGAAAAAUCAACUGUGCGAAAGAAUCAAUAUCUGCAGUGUCCGGGAUCACCUGGAUCUACACACGAAGUGCAGGGUGUAGUAUGAGUACAACCAACACAGUAAGUAACAAUAAUAAAUAAGGAACUGAAAGUAGUGACGAGCUUCGCAGCUAAGUCCAAAUACAGUAAUUUACAACAUGAAAAGGUAGGCAUGCUUUCAAGUUCAACAUUUAAAACUCCACAGUAAUUUCAUAUCAAAUUUGACUGAAACAUAAAUAAUGUCUUUCAGAGUAUUUCCAAAAUAGUGAUAAUGACUGAAAUGCAGCAAUAAUGGAAUCAAUGCAUCCUCUCAUAGUAACAGUCACCCAGUCCUCCCAUACACUCCAACUUCACAGUCAUUCUUUUCUCACAGUCACUCAUUCCUCACAGUCAUUCAUUCCUCACAAUCACUCAGCACUCGGCACUCGCACUCUUACUCAGUAGAUACAUGCGCUCAUUGGGGGUGUGUACAGACUCCGGAGGGGCUCAUUCAGCCCAAGUGCUAUAUCAAGCCAAUCAUGGCAUAUAACAAUGAAACAUGCUGCGGCGUGCAGCCCGAUCCCAUAAAUAUCCUCACAAUUAGGCCCUCGGCCUCACUCAGUCAUCAACCUCUCCAGUCUCUCGGGCUCUCAGAAAUCAUGAUAAGCAGCCCAACAACAAUGAUAUGAUGCAUCAAUAAUGAAUAAGAGAGAUUGAGGUACAAAUAUGCAAAUAAAACUGUGACUAAGUGCAAAAUAAUAAUUUAGCAGAUAAUUCCACAAGUACACGACCUCUGUGAGUCCCAACAGUGUAAACAGAUGAUUUAAACAUGAUUAAUAGAUCAAUUUCUCUAAAUACGUAGAAAAAUAUACGGAUAUCAACAGAUUUUUCAACUACACAGUUUCAUGGAAUUGAUCAAGUCACAAUUCCUACGGUGCACGCCUACACGCCCGUCACCUAGCAUGUGUGUCACCUCAAACCAAUCACAUAACACAUAAUCUGGGGUUUCAUACCUUCAGAACCAAAUUUAGAACUGUUACUUACCUUGAACAAUGUAAUUCUUUAUUCUGCUAUGCCUUUUUCCUCGUGAAUUGGCCUCCAAACGGCACGAAUCUAGCCACAAAUAAUUUGAUCCAGUCAAUAAAAUUUAUUGGAAUUAAUUCUAUAAGAAAAUGCUAAUUUUCCAGCAAAAUCUGAAAUUUAGAUCAAAAAUUGCCCGUGGGGCCCACAUCUCGGAACCAGACAAAAGUUACAAAAUUCGAAAGCCCAUUCAACCACGAGUCUAACCAUACCAAUUUUACUUAAUUCUGACAUCAACUCGACCCUCAAAUCUUCAAAUUAAACCAAGAAGGUUUUCUAAAUUUUUCAACUUAAUUCACCUAUUUAAUGAUGGAUUCAAAGGCAUAAUCAUGAAAAUUAAUCAAAAUUGGAUAAGAAUCACUUACCCCAAACACUCACGUAAGAAUCUCUUUAAAAAUCACCUUCUACCGAGCUCCCAAUUCGAUUUUGUGUUAUGAAUUCGAAACCCCCAUUUUGGAACUUUUAAUUCCGCCCAGAUAUGCCUUUAUCGCGAACGCGACCUCACCCUCGCGUCGCGUAGAACAAUCUGACUGUCCCUCAAAUUAACCCUUCGCUAACGCGAUGCGAGCCUCGCGAACGCGAAGGCCAAAUGCACGGGGUCCCAAGCUGCCUUCUCUCUUCUUCGCGAACGCGUCUGCCUACUCGCGUUCGCGAUGCUUUCUCAGUCCAAACCUUUGUAUUUGUGUUCGCGUCCUCUCCUUCGCGAACGCGAAGAACAAAAUUCUUCAGCCCAUAGACACCCUUCGCGAAUGUGAGACCCCUCUCGCAAAUGCGUAAGAGGAAACCAGAAGAAACACACCAGUAGUCUUCUACCAAUACGCUAAGUCCGAAAAUGAUCUGUUAACCAUCCGAAACUCACCCGAGGCCCCCGAGACCUCAGCCAAACAUACCAUCAAGUCCCAAAACAUCAUACGAACUUAGUCGAGUGUUCAAAUCACAUCAAACAAUGCUAAAACCACGAAUCGUACCCCAAUUCAAGCCUAAUGAACUUUAAAAUUUCCAAUUUCUACAAACGACACAGGAACCUAUCAAAUCACGUCCGAUUGACCUCAAAUUUUGCACACAAAUUAUAAAUAACAUAACGGACCUAUUCAAAUUUCCAGAAUCAAAUUCCGAUCGCGAUAUCAAAAAGUCAACCCAUAGUUAAACUUCCUAAAAAUUUGACUUUCGCCAUUUCAAAUCUAAUUCCACUACGGACCUCCAAAUAAUUUUCCGGACACGCUCCUAAGUCGAAAAAUACCAUACGGAGCUAUUGGAAUUAUCAGAAUUCAAAUCCGAGGCCAUUUACACAUAAGUCAAUAUCGGAUAAACUUUUCCAACUUAAGUUUUCAAUUAUGAGACUAAGUGUCUCAUUAUACUUCGAAAUCCUUCCGGACCCAAACCAACUAACCCGGUAAGUCAUAAAAUAACUAUAAAGCAUAACUUGAGUAGUAAAUGGGGGAACGGGGUUAUAAUACUCAAAACGAAGUCCGGGUCAUUACAUUUUCCCCCUCUUAAACAAACGUUCAUCCUCGAACGGGUUUAGAAUUAUACUCGGAGUCUCACAUAGGUGUAGAUAUUUGCUCCGCAACUCCUGCUCAAUCUCCCAAGUAGCUUCUUCGACUCAUUGGCCUCUCCACUGUACCUUCACUGAUGUUAUGUUCUUUGACCUCAGCUUUCGAAUUUGCCAGUCUAAAAUAGCCACCGGCUCCACAUCAUAAGUCAAAUUACUGUCCAACUGCACUGUACUGAAAUUCAGAAUAUGAGACGGAUCCCCGACAUACUUUCAGAGCAUGGAUACAUGGAAUACUGGAUGAACACCUGAUAGACUAGAUGGCAAAGCAAGUUCAUAAGCCACCUCUCUAAUUUUCUUAAGUAUCUCAAAAGGCCCAAUAUACCGAGGGCUCAACUUGCCCUUCUUCCUGAACCUCAGUACACCUUUCAUGGGUGAAAUCUUAAGCAGAACCUUCUCCCCGACCAUGUAAGCAAUAUCACGGACCUUCCUAUCGGCAUAACUCUUUUGCCUAGACUGCGUCGUGCGAAGCCAUUCCUGAAUCAAUUUAACCUUCUCCAAAGCAUCCUGAACUAAGUUAGUGCCCAAUAGCCUAGCCUCACCCAGCUCAAACCUACCCACUGGAGACCAACACCAUCUCCCAUAUAAAGCCUCAUACGGAGCCAUCUGAAUGCUCGAUUGGUAGCUGUUAUUGUAAGCAAACUCCGCGAGUGGCAGAAACUGAUUCCAAGAACCUCCAAAAUCUAUAACACAAGCACGUAGCAUAUUUUCCAAUAUCUUAAUAGUGCGCUCGGACUGCCCGUACGUCUGAGGGUGAAAUGAUAUACUUAGCUGAACCUGUGUACCUAAUUUUCGCUGUACUGCUCUCCAAAACUGUGAGGUAAACUGCGUGCCCCGAUCUGAAAUGAUGGACACUGGCACACCGUGUAGGCGAACAAUCUCGCGGCUAUAAAUCUCAGCCAACCACUCCGAAGAAUAAUUAGUACCAACUGGAAUAAAAUACGCGGAUUUGGUCAACCGAUCCAUAAUCACCCAAACAACAUCAAACUUCCUCAAAGUCCAUGGAAGCCCAACUAUAAAAUCCAUGGUAAUACGCUCCCAUUUCCACUUCGGAAUUUUAAGUCUCUGAAGCAAUCCUCCAUGUCUCUGAUGCUCGUACUUUACCUGUUGACAAUUUAAACACCGAGCUACAAACCCAACUAUAUCGUUCUCCAUUCGCCUCCACUAAUAGUGCUGCCUCAAAUCCUGAUACAUCUUAGCGGCACCUGGAUGAAUGGAGUACCACGAACUGUGAGCUUCCUGGAGAAUCAACUCACGCAAACCAUCUACAUUAGGCACACAUAGCCUUCCCUGCAUCCGUAAUCUCCAAUAGUGACUUCCUUGGCAUUACCGUGCUAAAACGUGUCCUUAAGGACAAGCAGAUGGGGAUCAUCAUACUGGCGCUCUCUGAUGCGAUCAUAUAAAGAAGACCGAGAAAUCACAUAAGCCAAAACUCGACUCGGCUUGAAAAUAUCCAAUUUGACAAACUGGUUGGCCAAGGCCUGAACAUCCAAGGCUAAAGGCCUCUCUGCUACCAGUAAAUAUGCUAAGCUGCCCCAAAUCUCCGCCUUACGACUCAAGGCAUUGGCCACCACAUUGGCCUUUCCGGGAUGAUAGAGAAUGGUGAUAUCAUAAUCCUUAAGCAACUCCAACCACCUUCGCUGCCACAAAUUAAGAUCCUUCUGUUUAAACAGAUGUUGUAGAUUCCGGUGAUCGGUAUAAACCUCACAAUGGACACCGUACAAAUAAUGCCGCAAAAUCUUCAAGGCAUGAAUAAUAACUGCUAACUCAAGGUCGUGGACCGGAUAAUUCUUCUCAUAUACCUUUAACUGUCUGGACGUAUAGGCAAUCACCCUACCGUCUUGCAUCAACACUGUGCCGAGACCAAUACGCGACAUGUCACAAUACACAGUAUAAGACCCUGAACCUGUAGGCAAUACCAAUACUAGGGUUGUAGUUAAAGUUGUCUUGAGCUUCUGAAAGCUCUCUUCAUACUCAUCUGACUACCUGAACGAAGCACAUUUCUGGGUCAAUUUAGUCAUAGGCGCCGCAGUAGACGAGAAACCCUCUACGAAGCGACGAUAAUAACCGGCCAAGCCGAAAAAACUCCGAAUCUUGGUAACUGAAGAUGGCCUGGGCUAGCCCUGAACCGCCUCUAUUUUCUUCGGAUCCACCUUAAUCCAUUCACUAGACACUAUGUGUCCUAAGGAUGCCACCGAUCUAAGCCAGAACUCACACUUAGAGAAUUUGGCAUAAAGUUUCUCCUCUCUCAGCCUCUGUAGUACAAUACUCAAGUGUCAUGUAUGCUCCUCCUGGCUACGUGAGUACACCAGGAUAUCAUCAAUAAAUACAACGACAAAUGAGUCAAGAUAUGGACGGAAUACACUAUUGAUCAAGUGCAUGAAUGCUGCUGGGGCGUUGGUCAUCCCAAAUGACAUCACGAGAAAUUCAUAGUAGCCUUAACGAGUCCUGAAUGUCGUUUUUAGACUAUCCGAAUCCCAAAUUUUUAACAGGUGAUACAUAGAUCUCAAUUUAAUUUUGGAGAACACCCUCGCUCCCUGAAGCUGGUCAAACAAAUCAUUGAUACGCGGCAAAGGAUAUUUAUUCUUGAUUGUAACUUUGUUCAGUUGUCUGUAAGCAAUGCACAUCCGCAUAGUACUAUCUUUCUUUUUCACAAACAAAACUGGUGCACCCCAAGGUGAUAUACUAGGCCUAAUAAACCCUUUAUCAAGGAGUUCAUGAAGUUGCUCUUUCAAUUAUUUCAAUUCAGCUGGUGCCAUACGAUAGGAGGAAUAGAAAUGGUUUGUGUGCCCGACACCAAGUCAAUACCGAAAUCAAUAUCCUUGUCGGAUAGCAUACCCGGCAGGUCUGCAGGAAAUACAUCUGAAAAGUCUCGCACUACCGGUACUGAAUCAAUAGGAGGAGUACCUACAUCAACAUCUCUCACAAAGGCUAAAUAUGACAAACAACCCUUCCCAACCAUAUGUUGGGCCUUCAAAUAAGAAAUUACCCUGCUAGGAACAUAAUCUAGAUAACCUCUCUAUUCAACCUUUGGCAACCCCGGCAUCGUCAACAUCACGAUUUUUGUAUGAUAGUCCAGAAUAUCAUGACAUGGAGACAAUCAAUCCAUACCCAGAAUUACAUCGAAAUCGAUCAUAUUAAGCAAUAAAAGAUCAACUAUAGUCUCCAGUCCCCCAAUAGUUACCACACACGACCGAUACACACGGUCCAUAAUAAUAGUAUCGCCCACCGGCGUAGAUACACGAACAUGUGAAACUAAGGACUCACUAGGCACAUCCAGAUAAUGAGUAAAGUACGAUGAUAUAUACGAAUAAGUAGAACCAGGGUCAAAUAAUGUAGAAGCUUCCCUGUGGCACACUGAGNNNNNNNNNNNNNNNNCAAAGUAACUGUGCUGAAGUCGUAGUCUGACUCCUCUUCUGCACUGGACCUCCCAAGCGAUGAGGACAUUAUCUCCACAUAUGCCCAAAUUCCACAAACUCAAAGCAGCUCUCCGGUACUGGUGAUGGUGCGGACUGAAUCGGACCCCGAGAACAAGAAUAACUACUAGAAGCACCCGGUACAAAUGAACCCUGAACUGAAGGGGCACGGGACGAACUCUGGGCUGACAGGGCACAGAGAGAUGACUGGCCCUGAUGAGAACUGUAUGAACCCUUGCCGGAUGAUGCACCACAGUGAACUGGACGACCCGUCUGAGCGUGUCUGUAAGGACGACCCCUACUGCAGUAAAACUGUCUGAAAUCACCUGGUCCCCGAGGCCUCUUGGCCUCCCUCUCUCCACGCUCUUGACUACGGACCAUCUCUAUCUGCCGAGCAAUGUCAACUACCUCAUCAAAAGUAGCACAAGAUACUCUCUCCCGAGUUAUAAGUAACCGCAGCUGAUAUGUGAGGCCAUCAAUGAAUCUCCUAAUCCUUUCCCUAUCAGUGGGAACCAACCAAACUGCGUGACGAGCCAACUCAGAAAAUCUCAUCUAGUACUGGGUCACAAAUAUGACAUCAUGACGUAACUGCUCAAACUGUCUGCGCAGCUCCUCCCUGCGAGACUGCGGCAUAAACUUCUCCAAAAAGAAAACGGAGAAUUCCUGCCAUGUAAGUGGUACUGCACCUACCGGCCUGCGCCUCUCAUAAGCCUCCCACCAUCUGAAGGCAGCCCUAGAAAACUGAAAAGUAGUAAACGAGACCCCACUGGUCUCCAGAAUAACCGCUGUCUGCAGCAUCCGUUGGCACUUAUCCAGAAAUCCCCGAGCAUCCUCUGACUCAGCACAGCUAAAUGAUGGAGGUCGAAGCCUCCCAAAUCUCUCAAGUCUUCUCUGCUCAUCAUUUGCCAUAACAGGGACUACCGGGGCUUGAGCAGCUACAACUGGCUGGGCUGGUUGUGCCCCCAGUUUCUGAAGUCCCUAUACUACCUGAUCUGGAGUACGGACAACAUGGUUAUGAGUACCUCCCCCAGCCUGAGAAGUAGCAUGUGCGGUCUGAGUCGAAACCACCUGAGCAAGGCCAGUGCAAACUGUCAAUAUCUGAGCCAAAGCCUCCUAUAGGCCUGGAAUCUCAAUGGGCACAACUGGUGCCUGAGCGGGUCCCGCCGGCUCAACUACAUUUGGAAUCUGCUCCUGAGCUGGAGCAACUGGUGGUGCUACAGGUGUUGCUCCAAUUGUUGUACGAGCGACACCUCGACCUCUACCUCGGCCCCGGCCUCUACCACGGUCCCGACCCCUCGCGGACCCAACUGGUGGCAGUGGUGGCUGACCAUCCGAUUCGGUAGUACGUGUUCUCACCAUCAGUGAGAGAAUAGAAUAAGAUAAUUUUUAGUUUUCGGAAUCAACAAUUCGCACGACAGAAUACAAGAAAGUGUAAUUUUCCUAAGGGUUAGUCAGCCUCUCGAAGAUAAGUACAGACGUCUCCGUACCGAUCCGCAAGACUCUACUAAACCUACUCAUGACUCGUGAGACCUAUGUAACCUAGGCUCUGAUAUCAACUUGUCACGACCCAAAAUCCUAACCUGUCGUAAUGGCACCUAUCUCAAUACUAGGUAAGCCGACAAUACCGAUAACCCAUAAUUUCUUGUAAAUACGAAAAAUAUAAUAAUUAAGUUUAAGAGAAAAUCCCAUAAAUACUGGAUAUAAAUAACUCCCUAAACUCGGUGUCACUAAGUACAUGAGCAUCUAUACAUCACAAGUCUGGAAAAUACAGUCUAUAAUAGUUUGAGACCAAAUACAGUAAACAAAGAGAUAGGGAAGGAGAGACAAGAUCUGCGAAACACGACAGCUACCUCGGAAUCUUCGAAAAAUCAACUGUGCGAAAGAAUCAACAUCCGCGGUGUCCGGGAUCACUGGAUCUACACACGAAAUGCAGGGUGUAGUAUGAGUAAAACCAACUCAGUAAGUAACAAUAACAAAUAAAGAACUGAAAGUAGUGACGAGUUUCACAGCUAAGUCCAAAUACAGUAAUUUCCAACAUGAAAAGGUAGGCAUGCUUUCAAGUUCAACAUUUAAAACUCCACGGUAAUUUCAUAUCAAAUUUGACUGAAACAUAAAUAAUGUCUUUCAGAGUUUUUCCAAAACAGUGAUAAUGACAGCUGAAAUGCAUCAAUAAUGGAAUCAAUGCAUCCUCUCAGAGUAACAGUCACCCAGUCCUCCCAUACAUUCCAACCUCACAAUCACUCUUUCCUCACAGUCACUCAUUCCUCACAGUCACUCAUUCCUCACAAUCACUCACUACUCGGCACUCGACACUCGGCACUCACACUCAGUAGGUACUUGCGCUCAAUGGGGGUGUGUACAGACUCCGGAGGGGCUCCUUCAGUCCAAGCGCUAUAUCAAGCCAAUCAUGGCAUAUAACAAUGAAACAUGCUGCGGCGUGCACGCCCACACGCCCGUCACCUAGCAUGUGUGUUACAUCAAACCAAUCACAUAACAUAUAAUCCGGGGUUUUAUACUGUUACUUAUCUCGAACAAUGUAAUUCUUUAUUUUGCUAUGCCUUCGCCUUGUGAAUUGGCCUCCAAACGCCUCGAAUCUAGCCACAAAUAAUUCAAUUUAGUCAAUAAAAUUUAUUGGAAUUAAUUCCAUAAGAAAAUGCUAAUUUUUCAGCAAAAUCCGAAAUUUAGCUCAAAAAUCACCCGUGGGGCCAUGUCUCGGAACCCGACAAAAGUUACAAAAUCCGAAAGCCCAUUCAACCACGAGUCUAACCAUACCAAUUUUACUUAAUUCCGACAUCAACUCGACCCUCAAAUCUCCAAAUUAAACCAAGAAGGUUUUCUAAAUUUUUCAACUUAAUUCACCUAUUUAAUGAUGGAUUUAAAGGCAUAAUCAUGAAAAUUAACCAAAACUGGAUAAGAAUCACUUACCCCAAACACUCACGCAAGAAUCUCUCUAAAAAUCGCCUUCUACCGAGCUCCCAAUUCGAUUUUGUGUUAUGAACUCGAAACCCCUAUUUUGGAACUUUUAAUUCCGCCCAGAUAUGCCUUUAUCGCGAACGCGACCUCACCCUCGCGUUCGCGUAGAACAAUCUGACUGCCCCUAAAAUUAACCCUUCGCGAACGCGAAGCGAGUCUCGUGAACGCGAAGUUUUGUUGUCCCCUCACUUCGCGAACGCGACAACCCCUACGCGAAAGCGAAGGCCAAAUGCACGGGGUCCCCAACUGCCUUCUCUCUUCUUCGCGAACGCGUCUGCCUACUCGCGUUCGCGAUGCUUUCUCAGUCCAAACCUUCGUGUUCGCGUCCUCUCUUUCGCGAACGCGAAGAACAAAAUUCUUCAGCCCACAGACAUCCUUCGCGAAUGCGAGACCCCUCUCGCGAACGCGUAAGAGGAAACCAGAAGAAAAACACCAGCAGUCUUUAGCCAACAUGCUAAGUCCGAAAAUGAUCCGUUAACCACCCGAAACUUACCCGAGGCCCCGGGACCUUAACCAAACAUACCAUCAAGUCCCAAAACAUCAUACGAACUUAGUCGAGUCUUCAAAUCAUAUCAAACAACGCUAAAACCACGAAUCAUACCCCAAUUCAAGCCUAAUGAAUUUAAAAUUUCUACAAAUGAUGCCGGAACUUAUCAAAUCACGUUCGAUUGACCUCAAAUUUUUCACACAAGUCAUAAAUGACAUACAGACCUAUUCCAAUUUUCAGAAUCAGAUUUCGACCCCGAUAUCAAAAAGUCAACCCCCCGGUCAAACUUUCCAAAAAUUUAACUUUCGCCAUUUAAAGCCUAAUUCUACUACGGACCUCCAAAUAAUUUUUCCGGAUACGCUCCUAAGUCCAAAAUCACCAUACAGAGCUAUUGGAAUUAUAAGAAUUUAAAUCCGAGGUCGUUUACACAUAAGUCAACAUCCGGUCAACUUUUCCAACUUAGAUUUUCAAUUAUGAGACUAAGUGUCUCAUUACACUCUGAAAUUCUUCCGGACCUGAAUCAACUAACCCGGUAAGUCAUAAAACAACUGUAAAGCAUAACUUGAACAGUAAAUAGGAGAACAUUGUUAUAAUACUCAAAACGACCGGUCGGAUCAUUACAAUACACUCAACUACUUUUGAAGCAAAAUUUAGGCAUUUGAUUAUUGUGACAGAAUUUAAAGUCUGGUCAAAUUAUAUAGUGCAAAUAAUCCUGGUUUAGUGGGGCAAAUUCUGUCCCCUGACUGCAGAUUUUUAUCACUAUUUGCUUUGCAAGUUUCUAAAGGAAAUUUAUUUGUAUUCUAUAUUCAUAUUAAAUUAUUUAAUUAUUAUAAUUAAAAAUAAUAAAUUAAAACAACGAUAUAUUUUAGUUAACUAUACUUUUAUUAUAAUAAUAUAUGCAUAUGUGUCAUGUAUUCAUUAGAUUAGUAUAGACUUACAACUUGUUUGAAUAGUUCUUAUACAUUGUAUUGUAUAAUAUUGUUACUUUAAAUACAAAUUUAUUUUGAUUGUUACUUGAAUUUUAUUAUAUCGCAUCGUUAAAUUUAUUGGUGCGUAACAAUGAAAAAAGCCACUUUAUCUAACGAUCGAGUGUAGUUACGUUGUUAUUUUAUUUUUUCCUUUUAUCUUAUCCUUAUUUUUAAAAAAUAAUUAUAUUGCGUACCUUACUUUUUGUUAUUGUAAUAUUAUAAGUUUAUUUUUUAUUUAUAUUUUUGAUAGAUGACAUCAUAAAAUAAUAUCAGGUAACAUAAUCUGUUUAAAUACUGUACACGUUAAACAAAAGGAUACAUUAUAAAAUGAUCCAAACAAGUUGUAAUAUGAUAAGUCUUUACCUUCCUAAGGCCAAGAGCCCAAAUUAGACACUAACACAUUCCUAGUGAAUCUCAACACCCUCAAAACUCUCAAACAGACAGAAAUAUUAAAAGAAAAAAGUAGUAGCCGCAGCAGAAGAACGGGGCAAAGAAGAAGAAGAAGAAUUAGCUGCAACACAAAACUCUGUCUCAACCUUAUAUAUCCAUCCAUCCCCAAAAAAGUCAAUCUCACCUUUCCCAAAACUUCAUCACUCUACACACUUUGAUCUAGAGAAGCAAUUCACACCCAACAAUACUGUUAUAACAAAAAAAAAACCAAUUGCUUAAAUGAUCUCAUUAUUACUUGUACAAACCACAUAUGUUGAAUUGUAGAUAAGAAAGAGCAAAAGUUUAUUUUUUUGGAUUGGUUAAGAAUUUGCAAGAAUGAUGAAUUCUGGGGUUAGUAGUAGUAAUAAUAAUAAUAAUAAUAAUACAAUGUCGUCUGCAUCGGGGAACAAUAACAACGCAGGACAAUCACCUGGUUUGAAGACUUAUUUUAAGACCCCAGAAGGAAGGUACAAGCUUCAGUAUGAAAAGACACACCCUGCUGGCCUUCUUCAUUAUGCUCAUGGCAAGACUGUUACUCAGGUAUAACUAUUAGCUCUUAUGCUUUUGUGUUUUUUUUUUUUAAAUUCUUGAUUGUGGCUAUUGAUGUUAAUUUCAAUGUUAUGUUUUGUAAGAUGCUAAAGACUGGAUUUUGAGCAUGACCCACUUGGUAAUAUCCAUGUUUUGAGCUUAGAAUGGAAGGGGUUUGGCUAAUAUGGUUAGUUUCAACUUUAGUGGUUUGUAAGAUGGUCAAGAUUGGAUUUUGGUCAUGAUGGUCAAGAUUGGAUUUUGGGCAUGACCCACUUGGUAAUAUCCAUGUUUUGAGCUGAGUAUAGAAGGGGUUUGGCUAAUAUGGUUAAUUUCAACUUUAGUGGUUUGUAAGAUGGUCAAGAUUGGAUUUUGGCAUGACCCACUUGAUAAUAUCCAUGUUUUGAGCUGAAUAUUGAAGGGGAGCCUUGGAGCAACGGUAAAGUUGUCUCCGUGUGAACUAUAUGUUACGAGUUCGAGCCGUAACCUAUAUACUUACAUCUGGAUAAGCUGCCUACAUCGCACCCCCUUGUGGUGCGGCCCUUUCUUGGACCCUGCCUGCAUGAACGCGGGAUGCUUUGUGCACCAUACUGCCUUUUUUUGGUGUGAUGGUAAAGAUUGGAUUUUAGGGUUGACUCACUUGGUAAUAUCCAUGUUUGAAGCUGAGUAUAGAAGGGGUUUAGCUAAUAUGGUAAAUAUCAAAUAUUGAAGGUUCUACACCUCUACACCAUCCUUUUCCAAAAAAGGGGAAAAAAAGGUUACUUUAGGUUUACUUGGCACCUGUAUUUGUGCGUGUAGCAGGUUACACUGUGGAUUAGUCAAGGCUGAUAUGCCGACAUAGUCCUUUUCCAAAAAAAAAAGAAGGUUAAUUUCAAGUUCAAGAUACGUUCCCGGGGGUUUGAAUAAUUGAGUUUUACAGUAAAUUUGUUUUGGUCUCAUCUACCUUUUAACUCCGGGUCGAAAAUCCAUUUUCUGUCUGUUUACACGAAAUCAAGGAUCCACUAAUGAGAUAAAAUGUAAAAUAACUUUUAUUUUCAGGUAACCCUUGCUCAUCUCAAGGAUAAGCCGAUGCAGGCGCAGCCCCAAUCAUCAUCAAGUUUUGGAGUGAGCAGUGGUGUUAGGUCAGCUGCAGCAAGGUUCUUAGGUGGAAAUGGUAGUAAAACACUUAGUUUUGUUGGAGGAAAUGGUGGAAGUAAGUCUAUUAGUGGCAUGAGUGGUAGGGUUGGAUCAUUUGGGGUGUCAAGUUCAAGUAAUUCUGUUGGCAAUUCGAAUUUUGAUGGCAAAGGAACCUAUUUAGUGUUCAAUGUUGGUGAUGCAAUUUUUAUCAGUGACUUGAAUUCUCGAGAUAAGGUAUGCUCGUCAACAUAUUUUGCUUUCUGAGAUGAUAGAUUUCGUGAUACAGAUUAUGAGAGUAUUACUGUCCAGUACAGGAUCCUGUAAAGUCUAUACAUUUCAGCAAUUCAAACCCCGUUUGCCAUGCAUUUGAUCCGGAUGCAAAGGAAGGACAUGACCUGCUCAUUGGUUUAAAUUCUGGAGAUGGUAAAUUUCCAUGUAUCAGUCUAUGUGACAUAUAGUUUACAGCUUCUAGUAGGAUUCUCUUUUGAACCACAAUGUCUGUUGUCACACUUGCAGUUUAUUCAGUAUCCUUACGGCAACAACUACAAGAUGUUGGGAAGAAGCUUAUUGGGGUACAACAUUACAACAAGGACGGUGCUGUUAACAACAGGCAAGGCUCUCAAAUCAAACCCUUCAAUUCUUGUCUUUAUCUUGUCUUUGGGGAAUAAUGUUUAUACACCUAGGCUUCCUUGACAUCUUUUUUAUUGAGUUUGAAAUAGAUGAAUAUUUAGUCAGACAAGCGUCAUAUAUGUUUUUUGAUGGCUAAUACAACUUGUGUGUUCCCUAAAAUUUUCUUUAUAGUAGAUAGCUUUCUCUUUUGAUAAAGGUGGAAUCUUGUGUUCUCUUUAACUAAUCUUGCUGACUCUCUAUAAAUGGAAGCCGCAUUUGCUGAUUGGCAUAAUAGCAUCAUUUGAAUUAAGUGCCAUUGAGCUGGUUAUUUCCCAUUUAUGGGGGUCAUAAGUUAGAUUUAAAUUGGUAAUCAUAGUUGAGACAUCCAGAAAAUAUGCUGCUUUUGCAAUACAUUUAUUAAAUGGCGUUUAUGAUUACUGAAUAUUCUUUAAGGCACUCCAUCUCAUAUUUCAAAGUAACAUUGUAAAAAAACAGUCAGUAACCUUAAAAGAAUAUUCCAUUAGCUUAUAAAUGUACUUCUAUCAUUAAUUAUAGGUCGUCUUUUAUGGACCAUUAGAGAUACUUUGACACCUCCUAUGUACAAACUCGCCCCUCCCCUGGGUUGAUGGAAGAUAAGUAGAUUAGUCUAUGAAGUGUAAGGAUGACAACAAAAAUAUGAUUAGAUUUAUUUUUCAGUUUUUCACAACCGUCACGUAAUCAAGAAGUUAUUGAAGUUGACAAGUAAGCUUUUCUUUUUGAAUAAAUAAGAGGCACUAUAUAUAUAAGAAAGAGCAUUAAGGAGAUUGAAGAUACCCAAAAAAAGGAGAAGAUAGAAACAACUAAAUAAGAUAUAAGGAACAAAGAAAAAGAAGAGAGGUAAGAUCUUGAAGGCACCAUCAUUUAGACAAAGGAAAUCUAGGAACAACAAAAAAUCUUCAGCUCCUUCCAUCAACUCUUCCUUGGUCAAAAGAGAAAAUUAAAUGAAGAUAAUAAUUGUUACAGUAGCUGCACUAGUAGUUCAAAAUAUUAUUUCAUGCUGGUUAAUUGAGGACAACUUGUAGUGAUAAUUUGGUGACAUGGGAAAUACUGUUAUAGCAUACAAACAUUUAUGUUCCACGCAUGCCUUUUUCAAUGCAUCCUUCAUCAAGGAUUCUUUAAGAAGAUAUUUAAUACUUUUUGACAUUGUAGACUCCACCACUCAAAACCCCUACCCAGGAGGCAUACAAUGGGCCUUUCUCACUUUGCCCCUUUGGUGGCUUAAACCCCCAACCUUAUUAUUAGAAUUCGAGGCUUUUUACCAAUUACCACUAGGCUACCCCUCCCUUUUCACAAAAGAUCCAUACUUCAUUUAGUGUUUGUUGUGUUCAUUACUUGUUGAAUAUUUUACAAUUAGUUUCCUGCAAUGUCUGGCCAUGCUAGUACUGUAACUCUGUAAGUGUGAUAGUUACAUAUAAAACAAAAAGGUUUAUACCAAGAAGAGAAUGAUUUAUUUGCCAAUUUAACAAUUUCCUUUGCCUCCAACACCAGUCGUUGUACUAGUGUCGCAUGGGUGCCUAACAGUGAUGGCACUUUUGUUGUUUCUCAUGCGGAUGGAAACUUUUAUGUCUACGAUAAGGUAAAUAUGGUGUCUUACUAAUUUCCGAUGUUAAUGAUUUUCAUAUUUCCAACUUCUGUUAGACCAGUGUGCAAUUUGUUUUUGUUUCGCAGAGCAAAGAUGGUUCUGCUGAUCCUUCAUUUCCAGUCAUCAAGGAUCAAACUCAAUUGUCUGUUUCCCAUGCACGCUAUAGUAAGGUAUUGUGCUUAUGGACAUAGUAUUUUUCUGCAGUAAUUUGUUGUCUCCAACAAUUGUCAAUUUCGUUGUUUAUCUUUUUACAUCGAGAGAUCAACCUCACCUCUCAAUCUCGAAUUAUUUGGGGUAAUCUGUAUGGAUUUGUGUUCCAUACCAUGGUAUUUUGGUUCGUUUAAUUUUUAUACUAAAUAAUUUGACUUGUAAAGCAUAUUAGAGGUUCUCUAAAUCUCACACUUAACCCUAUGCGGAUGUACAAGUCUUUAGCAGAAUAAGAAUAAAAAGACACUACAGUAUACUUGAUGCAAGUAUAACACAAUAAUGAAGCCUUAAAUCUCAGCUAGUUGCUAUAGCCUAUAUGGAUCACUUUUUUCCAUUUCGUCAUGUUUUUGGAUAAAUAAGAAUUGCUUUGGUAAGGUUGUAGGUAUACCAAGAUAACUUCCAUUCAUGUAUUUUACAUCACUUUAUUCAUCUUUUAUCAAAAAAUAAACGAAUAGUGGUCUAUUUAGGACAUGACUAAACCAUCUCAAGUUAUCUCUCAUUUUACCCUUUAUUGUGUGUUCCUUGCACUCUCUCAGUCUAGUAUGAUCAUUUCUAAUCUUGUAAAAGAAUCUUGUGCAAUCUGAUAAUACCUACAUUUAGCUCAUAUAUCUAAUGGUUGUCACACUUUACUAGUAAUAUUUUAUUGCCUUUUUUUAAAGGUUCCUUUCAAAUCCUUUUAAUUAGAAUAAUUAUCAAAAAGCACAUGCAUAUUAAGUUGCUCCGACACGGUAGUUUAGGUGCUGCACCCGUGUCGACACGAUACUAGUAUGGGUGUGGGUAAGGGAACCGUAUCGGAUUUGGUCAAACAAUUUUAGGUACUUUGACAAUUUUGGAUACAAUUUGAUUCCCAAAAUCAGAACUGCAACUAGGGUAAAUUUGAAGAAAAUAGCAUAUUUUAUCUAGAAAAUUAAUCCUUUACUUUUCUACAACUUGAGAAUAAAAAAGAAAUCUGCACCUUACAAGCUAUACAUAAAUAUUCCACAAAAUUUCUGAUAAUUUAGAGAUUUUUUUAUUUUUUUAUUUUUUUAUUUUUUUGAAUCCGUACUAGGAGUCGUAUCCUCGAUUCUUAGAAUUUACAUCUUUGAUUAGGUAAAGAGGGACGUAACGCGAGAAUCCCCUUUGUUGUCAUCGAUCAUGUCAAAUUAGAUGAUGUUGCAAAGCAGUUUAUAGAGCCAGCAAAUAUGGCAAAUUAGAUGAUGUUGGUCCUGUGAUAUUUAAUCAUGAGCCAAUUACCUCUUUCUCAAGGCAUAGGCACAUUGACUCCUUACUAGUAGCUUCAUUACUUCUUUUGAGCCUAUUCUAAGCAAAUACAAUCUUUCAUUGAUGAGGUUUACAACUUCUUUGGAUGGUUGUUAUCCAUCAUUUUAUAGUGUAUCAUAUUGUAUUGUAUUUUACUGUAUUGUUCUAUGAGUACAACAUUUGGAUGGAUUGUAUCGUUUGGAUGUGGUUUAGUAAGAUCUUUGUUGUUUGGUUUGAUUGUAACAUAUUGUACAACAACUGAUGGGUUUACGAAAAUGCCUUUAACUGCUAUAAAUAUUAGAUUUACGAAGAAUUACUCAUAAAUUAAUUUAAGACAGCUUCUUUCCCUAAUUUAUCACCAAUUAUGCUUUGUAGACAUAUUACGUUAUUAAAUUCAUCCAACUCCNNNNNNNNNNNNNNNNNNNNNNNNNNNNNNNNNNNNNNNNNNNNNNNNNNNNNNNNNNNNNNNNNNNNNNNNNNNNNNNNNNNNNNNNNNNNNNNNNNNNNNNNNNNNNNNNNNNNNNNNNNNNNNNNNNNNNNNNNNNNNNNNNNNNNNNNNNNNNNNNNNNNNNNNNNNNNNNNNNNNNNNNNNNNNNNNNNNNNNNNNNNNNNNNNNNNNNNNNNNNNNNNNNNNNNNNNNNNNNNNNNNNNNNNNNNNNNNNNNNNNNNNNNNNNNNNNNNNNNNNNNNNNNNNNNNNNNNNNNNNNNNNNNNNNNNNNNNNNNNNNNNNNNNNNNNNNNNNNNNNNNNNNNNNNNNNNNNNNNNNNNNNNNNNNNNNNNNNNNNNNNNNNNNNNNNNNNNNNNNNNNNNNNNNNNNNNNNNNNNNNNNNNNNNNNNNNNNNNNNNNNNNNNNNNNNNNNNNNNNNNNNNNNNNNNNNNNNNNNNNNNNNNNNNNNNNNNNNNNNNNNNNNNNNNNNNNNNNNNNNNNNNNNNNNNNNNNNNNNNNNNNNNNNNNNNNNNNNNNNNNNNNNNNNNNNNNNNNNNNNNNNNNNNNNNNNNNNNNNNNNNNNNNNNNNNNNNNNNNNNNNNNNNNNNNNNNNNNNNNNNNNNNNNNNNNNNNNNNNNNNNNNNNNNNNNNNNNNNNNNNNNNNNNNNNNNNNNNNNNNNNNNNNNNNNNNNNNNNNNNNNNNNNNNNNNNNNNNNNNNNNNNNNNNNNNNNNNNNNNNNNNNNNNNNNNNNNNNNNNNNNNNNNNNNNNNNNNNNNNNNNNNNNNNNNNNNNNNNNNNNNNNNNNNNNNNNNNNNNNNNNNNNNNNNNNNNNNNNNNNNNNNNNNNNNNNNNNNNNNNNNNNNNNNNNNNNNNNNNNNNNNNNNNNNNNNNNNNNNNNNNNNNNNNNNNNNNNNNNCACAAUGAUUUCACAGUAACCUAUGGUCUCAAAUUGGACAAUGCUACUGACGUAGGAAAAGACAGCUGCAAAACCACGAAGAAAAAUAGAUUAUAUGAUAGAGUUAAUAAAAAAGUGUAAAAGGUAAAAUAUAAUUAUUGAAUAAUAAUUAAGGAUAGAAUGGUAAAAUAAAAUAAGGUAACGAUGGAAACACAUCAAAUCGGUUGUUACAUAAAAUAUUUUAUGAGUAAUUGUUGAUAAAUCUAAUAUUUACAGCAAUUAAGAUCAUUUUGGUAAACUUUCAGUUAUUUUACAAUAUAAUAUACCUAAACCAAACAAUAAAGAUGUUAUUCAACCAUAUCAAACGACACAAUCUAUCCAAGCGUUGUAUUCACAAAACGACACACUACAUUAUGAGACGAUAGAUAACAACUUUUGGCUACAUUGACCUCUGCUGCAGUAGAAUAUUUGACUAUUCCGAUCUGCAGUCUGUGAGUAGCAAUUUAAGUUAUUCCUUUCACCUUUUAUCAUUUGACUUUAUAGUUCUUUCUUUAAUUUCCUUGUGCAGAAUCCUAUAGCUAGAUGGCAUAUAUGUCAAGGUUCAAUCAAUAGCGUUGCUAUCUCAAAUGAUGGGGCAUAUAUUGCAACUGUUGGGAGGGAUGGUAUUUUCUUCAUCUAAUGACUUCUGGAUCUUUAUUUUUGUCCUUUUCAUUGUUAACUCGGCUGAUAAUGGCUAAUUAAAUACAGGUUAUCUGCGAGUAUUUGACUACAAAAACGAACAGCUUAUAUGUGGUGGGAAAAGCUACUAUGGUGCUCUAUUAUGUUGUGCUUGGAGGUGAGUGCGUGUGGUGUUUUAGAUACAAGGUAUAUCUGUGUCUUGAAGUUGCUUUUGCCUUCUCAUUUAAACUUAGGAUCCUUCCCCUUAGUAUACAUUUUCUUUUUUCCCUCCAAAUAUGUUGUUAUCAAUGUUUUGAGUAGAGAAACAUUUUACUGAGAGUGCAUGUACUGACAGUAUGGACGGGAAAUACAUUUUAACUGGUGGAGAAGAUGACCUAGUUCAGGUUUGGAGCGUGGAGGAACGUAAAGUAGUUGCAUGGGGUGAGGGACACAACUCUUGGGUGAGUUUGUAGCAGAUUAGUAUGAUUUACCUUUUCUUCUCUGUGAUAUUCAAGUCUUCCUUAUUGUCUUGAUUCGUGUCCAUAGGUAAGCGGAGUGGCUUUUGAUUCAUAUUGGACAGCACCAAAUUCAGAUGGCACGGAUGAAAAUGUUGUCUACCGAUUUGGUUCUGUUGGUCAGGUAUUGUUCAAAUGAAGCACUAAAACUAUUUUUUUUUUUGGGAUAGGAAAAAUAAAUUUAAGAUGAGGUCCCACCGGGAGUCGAACCCACGUCUCAUGAAGCAAUAUUACUGUUUGAAUUACUAUUAAAACUAGGAUCUUAUGUGCCUAUUCAAGAUGAACACUUUAUCCGAGUUGAAGCUUAUAUUCUUCUCUUGCUCAACAAAGGAAAUGAAAUCAAAACUUAUCUUCUUUUUUUCCUUCUUAACCAAACAUUACUUUGUAGUUUUGGGGUGAAAUCCAAAUAUCCAGCAUCUUUACCGGUGCAUUUCAUUUGUGAUAUGUAGUUUUUGUACUACUUACUUCCUCAAAUCUCUCCAUCUUUAAUCGUAUUACUUACAUUGGUACUAACAUGUUUAUCUAUCUUUUUAAUCUUUAUAUGUAUCUUCAAAAAAUUUGUAAAUAAUUUUCUUGUAAUCGUAAUUUGUUAUUUCGAGGAUAUUUGUAAAAAUUAUAUAUUUUUAGAAUAUGUUUUGACUUGUAUCGUGAAAUUUGUAUUUCCUUGCUGGUAGCGGGUUGGAGCUAAUCUCCACAAGGAACCUCCUAAGCGGAGGAUUUUCUCUUCUUUAACAUGCUUAUCCGAUAGUUGAGCCUAGUAUGAAUUGAACAUACUUCUGUUAUGGAUAAAAGUUUUCCAGAUCAGUUGGCAAAUAGCCAACGUUCUACUUGGUUUGAAUUACUCAGCAGUUAAGAUGAAGCAGAAUGAAAAUCUGGUUCCAAAUUAUUUUUUACUGUAGGUGAAAACCAGUCAGAGCAAUGUUGGAGUUUGAGUCCUACUUUCAUGUGCAUAGCAAUUUGCAAAAAGUCAAACUUCCAAUAUCAUGAAAGAUAUUAUUAUUAAUUGCUCUACGAUCUCUUGCAGGUUUUACCUACUUGAUAUCUCCUAGUUUGACUGUCUACAACCUUGAUAUAUUUUUGCAGGACACACAAUUACUUCUAUGGGAUCUUGAAAUGGAUGAAAUUGUAGUACCAAUGCGCCGUCCUCCUGGUGGAUCUCCAACUUUCAGCACCGGGAGUCAAUCGUCACAUUGGGAUAAUGCUUGCCCCGUUGGUACUUUGCAACCUGCUCCAAGCAUGCGAGAUAUUCCAAAAAUAUCACCCCUGGUUACUCAUCGCGUUCAUACUGAACCACUCUCUAGUUUAAUAUUUACUCAUGAAUCAGUCCUUACUGUCUGUCGGGAGGGGCACAUUAAGAUUUGGAUGAGACCAGGCUUUGGUGAAAGCCCAUCAAGCAACUCGGAUUCUUUAUUGAGUACUAGUCUGAAGGAGAAGCAAUCGAUAUUGGGGAAGGUUGUUACUUCAAAUUACAAGUAAUGACAUAAAUAUUAUUAUGUUGGAGUGCAAAAAUGGAGAACGCAGUAAAUGGAGGUCUUUUACAUACUGACAUUCACUGCUCUUCAGUUACGUUUGCUCGAUGCUGAUAAGCGUAUGAUAUGAGGUUGUGCGGUGAGAUUAACUGACCAAUUGUAUAGGGAACAAUGAAUUUGCUGCAGGGAGCAAGAUGAGGUUGGAAGAAGGGUGCACACCUCGCGUGUAAGUAUGAAAUGUUAAGAGAAUAUUUAAACUGAUAGGCUGAAAUAAUUAUCUGACAUCUUUUGAGAUGUGCACCCUCCCAGAACUCCCUAACCCCUCCUUUUUUUCCCUUUUGUUCUUUUCAUUUUUUUCUCUUUUCUUUUUUAGCCAAUUUUGCAUAGAAACUACUGGUUGACAUUUGAUUUGUAUUGGAAUACCUCAUGUUUUGCCCUGUCCAACAUUUUGGCUGUGGUUUUAUGGGGUUGACAAGCUUAUUAAUGCACUUUUACAUGGAAUUUUUCUUGUGCAAGGUAAGUUAGUCGGGCGAAACUACAAAUGGUAACAGUCUGAGGUUAAUGUAGCCUGAUCUUCUAAAAGUUGAACUGGAUUUUGGUGAGAAAUCUUUGUUUUUAGAGAAGUUUAAACUUUCAAAAGUGAUUUAUCGUUUCUUUCAUCAUUCAUUGUAAAGACUUUUGAAACUUGGAUCUAAAAGUGACUUUGCUGAAGUUCAAUUAUACUUUUGAAAGUCUGAGUUUGUGCAAAUGGAAGGAGCAUCAAACAUGCAGAUAAUAUUUACUUGAUGUAAAAGUAAGCAAUGUUGCAGAUUUGUGCUUUUUGUUAUGAAUUACUUGUGAUUUAUAGUUCUGACUCUGAGUUACAAAGUUGUGGCAUUUCAAACCUUGGCCAGUUGGCCGUACUAACCAAUUGACAUAUAACAAAUCUACUUGGUUGCAGGUUCUUCAGUCUUAAACUAAUAAUGAUACAGCAGAACCAACCAAUUGACAUAUGAUAAAUAUUCUAGGGGAAAAUGACACUGUAUCUUUCAAAAUAAUUUCCGAAAAAAUGUAUUUUUUUCUGUAUAUAUUUGCAUUUCUGUAUGUUAUAUAUAAAAAAUAUACAAAUUUUAUACUUUUUUGCGGCUAUCGAAUAUAAAUAGUUUCCGCGUGAUCUUUGCCCAUAAAUCUACAUGGUGAAAACUGAAAGCUCUCAUUAUAGUCAUUGAGCCCUUUUCUUUUCACUAUAUUUUGAUUUUUAAAGGAAUAACACCUUUGCGUUAACAGGCAACGGCGUACUGUGACUUGAUAGAAAAACAAACUAAGACAUUUAAAUGUCAGGUUGCGAUCUGUGGGUUAGGACAAAGUUACAGGUCCAAACCUUGUCGGCUGUCGCAGAUAAAAAGCCUAGUAUUUAAGUGGAGAAAGGUAAAAGGACAUACCCAUUACCCAUCGAGCUUCAAAUCGUGCACUACUGACCUUCGGAGAUUUCUUGAUGAUCAAAAUAAAGAUUAUAUUUUAAAUACUCUAUUACAUGGGGAGGAGAAGAGGGCUAGUUAGGAUCCAAGUCACCUAUAUUGUGUGGGAGAUUCCCACAAAUACCAGUAAACUGUAACAUGUGAACAAAGAUGUGCCAAGCAAUUGAAUAGAAAAAGUAACAGGAAAGAUACAAGAUUACAUUUUUUUAACAGAAAAAGGAAAGGAGAAAAUCAAUCUUGGUUACAUUCUGAUAUUUACAUUAUUUCAGUUUCCCUUUGAAGCACUUCCUAUCUGCUGGAACAAUGAACCAGCCGUGUAACUCAAAACUUUACAGUUGUGACUUGCAACGGCUAGCUAUACACUCCAAUGAUUUUCUUACCCGAGACGGAAAAUGUUUUAAUCUUGAAUAUAAGUAGACUAUGUGUUCCUCGCGUUCAGCUUCCAUGCGCAGCUCCAGAAGUACCAGCUUCAGCUCCAUGCAUUUGGCUUUCCACGUGGGGCGUCGGACUAACUUCAGAUGAUUGAUUUGGACGCGCCCCUUCCUGAGAUUCACGAUGCGAAUUCCAUCUCCUCUUCAAUUUCAAAAGCUCAAGAAGGACAGAAGUCCCACACAUUGUACCCCCAAAACCCGCAAAGGUGGCAAGAAGAAUCGAUAAAACUGCUUGCACUCGAAGCUACAAUUCCGAGCAAAAGAUAAAAAGCUUUUAGUAUUAGGUGGAGCCCAAGGCAAUUCAAGAGAAUUACAUAAUCUUUUUUCUUUCCAGUUGGCCAUGUGUUAGGUUUUUUGUUUAUUUGAGCUGAAGCACUACUCACCACUGAGUAGAAAACAUGAGCAAACAGAACCACCAAGCCAAACUGAAUGACAGCAUAAAUCCAAGCAUAUCGUCUUAUUACUGAACACGUAAAGCAUGUAGUUUGUAUGUUAUAUUACCAUAUUAUUGUAAUCCAACACUGUCAAAUUUGAAAGAAGCUAGUGAACAUAGGGAGUUUAGUUCAUGUACCCAUAGUUGUCGAUGUCAUGGAAGCAAGGAGACCCAAUAUGCAUGAAAAGGGCAGAGAUAUAGCAAUGGCGCCCGAUCCCAUUCUGGUAACCUGUAAACAAGAAACUAUUUAGGACCCUUUUCUGGAGUAGGAUAAUAUAUUACUGUAUAAUCUUUACUUACCAAAAGCUGCUCCAGAAAACAAAAGUAGGCGAGCAUGCUGACGAUGACAAGAACAGGAACAUCUUGCCAAACCCUGUAAGCAGUUUGCACAGCUCAAGUAAAAUACCAUGUAAUUCAACUUAAAAACUUUUUUUUACAGGUACGAUGUAAUUCAACUUAAACAAUUUCAUCAUAAGAAAUGAUACAGAGCAACAAAAGAAAGGGAAAGGCAAGUUCAUGUGUAUACCUGUAUCGUCCAGCUUCAGCUUGAGCUCCAUUUCCUCCACGAUUAGUACUUUGAAUCCGCAAAAGAGUGACAGGUAAGUUCCGAACCUCUUCAUUGCAGACAUCACAGAUCUUGUUGCCUUUUAUGCUAAACCAUUUUAUAGCACAUUCUUGAUGAGCUAAGGCUAGUUCACCUUUACAGCUACAUUCCAUCUUCAGAGUUUCCGAACCCUCCCCAAGUUCAAUGAAGCAGAUUCUGCAGACAGCAUCUUCUUGAGUGAUGUCUUCACCAAUAUUAGCAUUUCCAUCUGAAACCAUAACACUAAGAAAGGUGUAGGUUAGUUAUCCUAGGUGAGUCGAAUAGAAGGUUCAAGCUGUAAAUGCAAUGCUGCAUAAGAAUACUGUCAUCUAGAUUUAAAGAAUAUUCUUUCUCCAAAUAUAGGUUAAGUACAGCUUCUUACAGCUACCAGAUUUUAAACAAUGAUUAUAUGGAUUAUAAACGCUAUAACUCAACUUCCAACAACUCUUAUCCACAAAAAUUGCUGUCUAUCAGAAAUUGGCGAGUACAUAUUCCUAUACGCAGAUGAUCACCGAGCGGCCAAAAUUUUAUAAAUCGCAAUCUGUAGUAUGAAAUCCUAGUUAGUAUGGCCUCCUAAUAUAAGUUGAGACAGCACUCCAUUAUAUUCGUAUGCAGCUGCUCCUUAUUAGAAUUAUAGCUUCAGACAAAAAAAUAAAGCACGAAUGAUGUAACUAACAGAGAAUCACAGGUUUGCAGAACCAAGCCCUUAUUAUACGACAAUGCAUCAAACAUGAUUAUAGACAUAAAUUACCUGCGCUAAGAGUUGAAGUCGCAUUUAAUGAUGAAGCAUCAUGUCUUGGCACGUGAGGAGUAGAGGGGACUACACGAUAGAUGCUCCCUAUGUAAUCCAUCUGUUUUAUGCUCCCAUCUUUGAUUAGUGUUGGCACUGAAUGUGAGCGGGGUAUGGGAUGUCUAGCUCCUGCUUUCUAGAAGAUGGUGAAUUCAUAAGAUUUUAGUAGAGAAAAUGAAUUGUCCAGAGUGAAUAGAGAGCAAAAGAAAUCUUGAAGGGUUAUGUGAAAUUACAAAGACCUUAAUUUAACAAAACCUUUAUAUUUAUGCCAACAAACCAAUAAGAAGAUCCAUGAUCAGUAUAUACAUCUAGGACUCUAGGUAAAUGAAUUAAGACUUUGGAGUACUGUCAUUGGAGAACAAUAAUUAUGCUUGUCUUUUGACUACACUCAUCUUUCUUUUUUCUUUUUCUUUUUAAUAAUUGUGGUGUCCGGGCCAGCUUAUGCGCACCUCGACUAAUUCCACGGGAUACCUGCCACCUCCCACCAGCAACAGGUACUAGGUAACUCUAUCUAUCAUGGUUUGGAUAGAUGGGAAAAAAUCACCUAGUGGUUUUUGUCUCCGCUGGGAUUUGAACCUGAGACCUCAUGGUUCAGACCCACUUCAUUGACCACUAGGCCACACUCUUGGGUGCACACUCAUCUUUCAUUACCCAAUGUAACAUACUCUCACUGAGAAUUUUACAUAUAAGAAGACGGGCAACAAAGAUAAGAACUUACAACUGAAUCGAGUGCUGCAUUUCCGUAGCCACCAUGUGUUGAUUCAGGAUUAGAGUGUUCAAUUGGAGUUAUAGGCAACGAUGAAGUUCUUUUCAUCUUUGGAGUGAAAAUCCUUUUAACAGAUAGAGUCCUGAAAAUCGAAGUCCUAUCCUGAGUUUGCGAAGAGGCUCCAAGAGCUAACAUUGCAGCCUUUUCAAUAUCAGUCGUUCUAUUCCGAAAUUUGAAACUUAAUUUAGGGAGGAGAGAUUUGAUUGACGAUUUAGCCCUCGAUAACGAGGGACCUGGAGAUCCGUUUACUUUAACAUGGCUCGGGCUUGGUAAUGGGGAAAAAUUCACUCUUUUCGGAGUUUGAGUUGGCGACGGGGACAACAUAUUUAUUCUCACGAAAUCCUCUAUUGGUCCAUCAACGGUUCUUUCUGGUACUUCCAGAAGUAGAUUUUGCUGUCUUUGCCGUUCGCAGAGUUGUAGUUCCUGUACUAUUUCACUUGAUUCACCAACCUAAAAGAUAUGAGAACCACAAUACAAGAGUUACUACUCAAUUUCUUGCCUCUCAUCAUACAAACAUUAACUGUACCAAAAUGCAAUAAAACAAAAGAUAUAAUCUUGAAACACUUCUCUGAUACAAAGAUUCAGCAUGCGGCACUGGUAACAAGAAUUAGCUCCAAGAAUGAUGUUGAAGCAAAGAUAAACAAUUCAUGCCAAAAAUAAUAUACAAACUAGUAGGUGAUCAAGAACCAAAUAAAACCAGCUCAGAAAUUCCUUGUACAAUCCUAAACAUCCAAAAUCUUUUGGAGUAUAAGUUCUAUGAACAUAUGGUGUAAACAAUAUUUACAACAUCAUGUAACUUUAAAGUCAACUGCAAGCAAUUCUCCAUACAACAACAACAACAAUAAUAAACCAAGUGAAAUACUACAAGUGGGGUCUGGGGAGGGCAGUGUGUACACGGACCUUGCCCCUACCCUGGGGAGGUAGAGAAGUCCGAAUGACCCUCGGCUCGAGAGGAAGACAAGUAAUUCUCUAUACAAACAUUAAUUGAUAUCUUGAAAAAGGGAAUCAAUCUUCUAUAAAAGGUCAAAAUACACCGAUAGUGUACAAAGUUGUUUACCCCGUCAUUGCAAAAUAAACAGGGCAGCCCAGUGCAUGAAGCAUCGCGCAUAACAUUAUCAAUGCACAUAACUUAAAUCAUUUUGCCCUUGGAGAUAUUUUUAAGAAUACAAACAAAAUUUUGCAAAAGAAAAACAAUCCAAGAAAAUCAUAAUUCAGCCUGGAAAAAGAGGAAAUUGAGUGAUAUCCAAGCGAAAAAAAAUCUCUUUUAGAAGGGAAUUCAAAAUUCCAACACAAAAAUGUUAUACAAACAAGAAAAAGGAUAUGAAUUAAGAUAUAGAAACCCAACAAAAGAAUUUCUCAGAAAAAAAAAAAGCCAUAGCUCAAAGAAAUAAAUGGGUAAAAGCAGAAAUAUGAAACAGACAAACAAAACCCAUAUCCAGUAUCCCUUGUAAGUGUUUUACAGCAAAAUAUAACAAGAAAAGAGAAAGAUAAAAGUUACCUUUACAAGAGGAAGAGGAGGAUCAAGUCUGCUGUUCAUGUUGUUAGUACAAUUAUUAUCAUCCUCUUCAGCUAAUGAUCUCUUGUUACUAGUUUCCAUUAAAUGUAACAAUUCUCAAGGAAACAAACGAAAAAAAGGAAGUAAAACCCUAAAGAAAAUAUUGGGAACUGAAUCACUGAAAGUAAAGAAGAGUGGCUAAUGAACAAAGUUACAAGCUUUGAGAGAGAAAAAGAGAUUCAAGAAAGUAAUGGGGAGCACUCACUAUACCAUAAGGGGCAGUUGGGUUUGAUUAAUUAUACGGGAUUAGUUAUCCCUAAAUUAUUUUUUUUUUUGUAGGAAUAAAAAUAAUACCAUAAUUUCAGAAUAAAUAAUAUCAUAUUAGUUAUACUAUAAUUUUAUCCCAAUUAAAUAUGGAAUAAACUCAUCUCAAAUAUAAUUUUAAAAUUAAUUAUUUCUUAUCUCUCGUACCAAACAAGUCCUAAUUUGUUAUUAUUAGUAUUAGAGUUUAUGUCAAAAGAAAAAAACAAGAGGUCUUUUGUCAAAAAUUGUACUCCCUCCGUUUCACUUUGUUUUGCAUAAUUCAAAGUACGAAGGUUAAAGUAUUUAAUUCAGACAUAAAUUCAUCAAAUUUUCAAAAUAAAAUUUGCAUAUUUAGAAAUUAUUUAAAAGGUAUUAUAAGUCAAUUUUUAGAAAUAAAUUUAUAUGUUUGAAAACUAUAUAAAAAAUAUUAUAAUUUAAAGUAAUUAAUAAUUUCAAAUAUUUUAAAAAAUAUUUAAGAAAAGCGUGGUAAGAAAAAUAUAUUUAUCUCUCCAAAUAGUAAAUGUGCCAAACAAAGGAAUAUGUAUUCUUUUUUUCUUUUUUUGAAUAAUAGUGUCGGGGUCAAUAUGUAUGCACCUCAACUAAUUUAUAUGAGUGGUAUAAUAAAAGUCAGAGACAAAAAUGUUGGGCAAAUUUAAAGAUAAAAUAGACUAACAUUGAAAAAACAAAUAGGCUAACAUUGAAAAUUGUAGUAGUUGAAUUUGAACCUAAAAUAUACUACUACUAUUUUGUUGUUAUGUUAUGUCUCAAUCGCUAAGUCAUCUCUUAAUAACAAUUUUUAUGUAUAUGGAAGUCUUAUCCAAUAAAAUUACUUAAUGGGAACGUUUUUCUUAAUAUAUCUAAUAGGUUACAGGUCUAUAUCAAGUUCUUGUUAAACAUUAAUGUUGGUUCUGAUUAGGUGUGAUAUGAAGUGUUUAUUUACACAUAUUUUAGAUAUUUAAUUAAAUUGAAAGAGAAUUUAAAGUCCUCAUUUCUUUUGUUUGUGCAAUGUUAGCGAAAACCCCAUGAAAUUAAAAGUUUUAUGUUGUUUCAUUUUAUUCUUCUUCUUUUUUGGUUUAUUUAUUGAGGUAUGGUUAUGGUUAGCAUGUAAAAUAUAGUUAAAGAGGUAUAGAAAAGAGUAGGACAUUAUGGGUGUGUUUGGUACGAAAAAAAAAAAUUUCCGAAAAAUAUUUUUUAAUUUUUCCAUGUUUAGUUGGUUUAAAUAUUUUGGAAAAUAUUUUUUUUAUGAACUAAUUGGAGGAAAAUAUUUUCCUUAUCAAGAGAAUGGGAAAACAUUUUCCAAAACUACUUCUCAACCUUCUCACCCUAUUCCCCACCCUCACUAACCGAUCACACACCCCACACACUAAUCUAACCCCACGCCAUGCCUACCCACUCCCCCUCUCCAAAAUCACCACCCACCCUACUACCCCCUCCCCCGAAAAAAAAUUUUACUUUUUUUUUUGUAAUUUUAAAUUUCUAUUUUUUCGUUUUUCUGCAUCACCCAUCCCCACCACGCUAAAACCCACCCCCAUUGCCCCUACCCCGCACAAAAAAACUAAUUUUUAAAUUUCUGUUUUUUCUUUUUUCUGCACUGCCCCCACCCCGCACAAAAAAAGUUUUUUUUGUACUUUUUUUGUAAUUUCAAUUUCUAUUUUUUUCGUUUUUAUGCAUACCCCCUGCCCCUNNNNNNNNNNNNNNNNNNNNNNNNNGCGGUUUCGAAAGUUUAGCGGUUCAGAAGCUUAUGAAAUUUGUGGGUUCGGAAGGUUAUUGGUUCGAAAGUUGAUGGCUUCAUGUUUAUUGUAUCUUUGCGUACCAAACACAGGAAAAUGAAUAAUAUUACGGAAAAUAUUUUCUGUUAUACCAAACACACCCUAUAUAUAGAGUUGAAUUCCACGUCUAAGCUCCUGAUUGGACACAGAUUUUGCUUCCUGAUUGGACCUAGAUUUUGCUUACUUUUUUCAAAAAAAUUAAAAACAUUAUUUUUCAUAAAACUUGAUUAGUCGUUGAAAAAAUUUCAAGUUCCAAAAACUGGUUUAAGGCAGUUUUUGAGUGAAAAUUUUCUUCCAUUCAUAAGACUAUCAACUUUUUUCCAACUAAAAUGCAUGUACAAACACAACUUCAACUUCCAAAAAUUAUUUUUCCCACAACUUCAAAAACUUCUUUUUUUCAAUUGUAAUCAAAUAUAUAUCCAAACGAUAGCUAAAUUAUAUGGAGCAGAGUUAUUGUAACACUCCGAAAAGUUGGACUAGGUGUGGACAUGUUAAAUGAGUAUUAAUGUGAUAUUUUAGACAUGUGAAUACGAUUCGAUAAAAUCGACUAAGUUUAUGGAAGAUCAGUCUUAUAUCAGGAUUUCGUGAAAAUCUGUUGAGAAUUUGGGAAAACUUAAAACAUGAAAGUUGUAGAACUUUGAAAUAGAUUUCCAAUGAUACAUUGUGGAGCCCGGACGGAUUUUUGAGGAAAACGUUAUGUGCGUUUUACUGGACAAUGCGCAGUAUGCGCGCCAGAUGGUCCCGUGCACGGCCACACACUUGUGGCAGUGUCACUGCCUCUGAUGCGCGUUCAGGUGUGCGGUUGGUCCUUCAGUUGCGUGGGGGCGCACUUGGGAAGUCAUUUUAUAAGCCCUACCUCGUCUCCCACACCCCCAAAACUUGCUCUAGAAAGGGAAGCUCUCAAGAACCUAACUCCUCAAAGGUCCCUCCACUAUCCAAGGUAAGUUCUAAUGGUGAUUCUAAGUUAAUUUGAAUUCUCCAAAACUUUAUUAAUAUAGGUAAACCCUUCAAAUCAUUAGAAGAUAUUCGAUUGAGACAUCAGUUUUGAGAGACGAAACCCUAAAACUCGAAUUCAAGAGGAUUGAACGUAAAAAGGGUAAUAUCUUCACCCUCUACUUGAUUAUAGUAUUGGAUUAAUGAUUAUAGACUCUAGUUCAUGAGAUAUGAGUUGAUGGAUUUGAUAGAAAAGCAUGAACGACUAUAUGUUUUGGUUGUUGAUUGUUGAUUAUUGGUUAAGGGUGUUGUUUAUCAUAUGGGUAAAGAAAAAUAAUAUUGAUUAUAAGAAAUUUGAGAUUUUAGAAUUUAUCUAGGAGCAAAAGAAUGGGUUGUUGGGUGUAUAAACACCAUUAAUGAGGGCUAUGAGACUUUAUGCCCAUAAAAUAUUUGAUGAAAUGUCUAAGUGACCAAAACAUGAGUAUGAUUGCUAAUAUGGAAUCCCUUUGACUUGUAUUGCCAUAGGUUAAAGUUGAAAUGGUUGGCAAUUGUUGUAUUAUGCUCAAUAUCAGGAAGUUAAGGUAUGUGAGACUAAUUCUCUAUAUUCGAGAAUGUUUAUGAUUCUCCCUACACUGCAUUUCUUUUACGACGUUACUAAUUGUCUUAGAAAUAUAGUUAAGCCUAGUUCCUUGAAUAGUUGCAGAACUUCUAUUCUCUAGCUUCAUAACUCGUUCAUGACUUACAUUCUGAAUGUUGUGAGCUCAGUGCGUAAUCAAUAUAGACUUGGGUUUGAUGCCCAUGUGUCUCAGUCUAGAUUACUCAGCAUGUCAUAAACAAUUGAAGUUUCAGUUUUCAUAAUUAGUUCAAGAAUACAUGUCUCAGCCUAGUCCUAUUCAGUAUUCCAGUAUCAUGUAACUCAAUAUGAUUCAGUAUUUCAGCAUCACAUAUUGCAGUAUGAUUCUCAGUUCCUGAAUUUAAAUCCUUGAAUGUUGAGCAUAUGUAUUUGGGCUUGAGGUCAUAGUUUAUUCUGGGGUUUUUGCAUCUAUACCCGGUUUUGGGGUCACAAUUGAACCUAUACCCACUUUGCAAAAAUAUUUGCAGGCGUAUCCACCUUACGAUCAACUUCAGACUUAUCGGGUCUGAAGUUAAAAAAAAAUUAGUUUGAAGUAAAAAAUUACAUUUCAAAUGCACUUAAGGCCAAAUAGGUCUGAAGUGCAACCAAUGGUUUCAUGCACUUAAGGCUAAUAAGUCUGAAGUGAAAAAUUGCACUUUAGAUGCACUUAAGGCCAAAAAGUCUUAAGUGCAACUAACGUUUCAUUCACUUAAGGCCAAAUAAGNNNNNNNNNNNNNNNNNNNNNNNNNNNNNNNNNNNNNNNNNNNNNNNNNNNNNNNNNNNNNNNNNNNNNNNNNNNNNNNNNNNNNNNNNNNNNNNNNNNNNNNNNNNNNNNNNNNNNNNNNNNNNNNNNNNNNNNNNNNNNNNNNNNNNNNNNNNNNNNNNNNNNNNNNNNNNNNNNNNNNNNNNNNNNNNNNNNNNNNNNNNNNNNNNNNNNNNNNNNNNNNNNNNNNNNNNNNNNNNNNNNNNNNNNNNNNNNNNNNNNNNNNNNNNNNNNNNNNNNNNNNNNNNNNNNNNNNNNNNNNNNNNNNNNNNNNNNNNNNNNNNNNNNNNNNNNNNNNNNNNNNNNNNNNNNNNNNNNNNNNNNNNNNNNNNNNNNNNNNNNNNNNNNNNNNNNNNNNNNNNNNNNNNNNNNNNNNNNNNNNNNNNNNNNNNNNNNNNNNNNNNNNNNNNNNNNNNNNNNNNNNNNNNNNNNNNNNNNNNNNNNNNNNNNNNNNNNNNNNNNNNNNNNNNNNNNNNNNNNNNNNNNNNNNNNNNNNNNNNNNNNNNNNNNNNNNNNNNNNNNNNNNNNNNNNNNNNNNNNNNNNNNNNNNNNNNNNNNNNNNNNNNNNNNNNNNNNNNNNNNNNNNNNNNNNNNNNNNNNNNNNNNNNNNNNNNNNNNNNNNNNNNNNNNNNNNNNNNNNNNNNNNNNNNNNNNNNNNNNNNNNNNNNNNNNNNNNNNNNNNNNNNNNNNNNNNNNNNNNNNNNNNNNNNNNNNNNNNNNNNNNNNNNNNNNNNNNNNNNNNNNNNNNNNNNNNNNNNNNNNNNNNNNNNNNNNNNNNNNNNNNNNNNNNNNNNNNNNNNNNNNNNNNNNNNNNNNNNNNNNNNNNNNNNNNNNNNNNNNNNNNNNNNNNNNNNNNNNNNNNNNNNNNNNNGAAGAAGAAGAAGAAGAAGAAGAAGAAGAAGAAGAAGAGAGAGAGAGAGAAGAAGAAGAAGAAGAAGAAGAAGAAGAAGAAGAAGAAGAAAACCAAAGAGGAUAAGGAGGAGGAGAAAAAGGCUUGACAUUGUUUAAAAAGUGGGUACAAGUUAAAUGCUUUUUAAAAGUGGGUAUAGGUUAAAUGGUGGCGACCAAAUAGGAUGCCCCCGUGUAAUUUUUACGUUUAUGCUUUAUGCAUGCUUGGGCCUGAGGCCGUAGUUUAUGAUUUAUGCAUUUUUUAGCCUAAGGCCGUAGUUAUGUAUAAGUAUACUUGGGCUUGAGGCCGUAGCUUAUGCACAUAUAUAUAUUGGGCCCAAGUCAGUAGUUUAUUCAGAUAAACAUGUGGUUCAUUAUUCAGAAGAGGGAGCAUUCAUAUCCUUACUUCCUUUGUUCAGUUUAUCAAUUCAAUUAUCAAUUAUAAUUAUCUAUCAGUGAUCAGUUAUCAGUUAUCGUUUCAGUUUCAGUUCUAGCAGUUUAUCAUUUCAGUUAUCAACUCAGUUUCAGCUUCAGCAUUUAUAGUUCUUUCUUUUAAUUGUUUUACAUACCAGUUCAAUUCAAAUGUACUGACGUCCUUUUCGCCCGGAGCCUGUAUCUCAUGAUGCAGGUAAUGAUUUACAGGUUGACGAUUCAGAGCGCUAGGAUUCUCAUACCAUCUACUUGGUGAGCGCCAGUUUUUUUGGGGAAUGACCAUUACUUUACAGUAUUUCAGUAUUUACAGAUAACUAGUAUUUUCGGUACUUCAUUAGAGGCUUCAUAGACUAGAGUAAUAGUUAGACAGAGUCGCAUGCUUUUCAUGAUAAGCAAUGUUGGCUAGAGAUAUAUUUCGGACUUAUGUUAUUGUUUCGCACUUUGAUUUAUACUCCCUCCAUUUCAAUUUAUGUGAACCCAUUUGACUGGACACAGAAUUUAAGAAAAGUGAGAAGACUUUUGAACUUGUGGUGCAAAAUGAAGCAUAUAUAUUUUGUGUGGCUAUAAAUCAUUGCAUAAAGGUAAAUUAUUUCCAAAUAAGGAAAGAAGUCAUUUUUUUUGGCACAGACUAAAAAUGAAAUAGGUUCACAUAAAUUGAAACGGAGGGAGUAUCAUUCAGACUCUCAGUAUAUCAACAUGUGUUAGCUUAUUUUUCGCAAUUAAUAUGUUAUGAUAUCAUAUGUUGAUUCAGACAGCAGUUGGUUCGCUCGGUCACAUGUAGUCAGGCACCGAGUGCCAUGUUACGUCUAGGCCGAGGUUCGAGGCGUGACAUUUACAAUCACCAAACUAUAACUCUAGUUUAUUUUUUUAUUUUUUUUAAAUGAUUAAAAGAAAGAAGAAAUAAACAACAAAAAAAAGAAGAGAAAUUUUCAU
rnacentral:lncRNA from 1 species